CCACUGUAUUCUGCUCUGGUCAGACCUCACCUGGAGUACUGUGUCCAGUUCUGGGCACCACAGUUCAAGAAGGACACUGACAAACUGGAACGUGUCCAGAGGAGGGCAACCAAAAUGGUCAAAGGCCUGGAAACGAUGCCUUAUGAGGAAUGGCUAAGGGAGCUGGGCAUGUUUAGCCUGGAGAAGAGGAGGUUAAGGGGUGAUAUGAUAGCCAUGUUCAAAUAUAUAAAAGGAUGUCACAUAGAGGAGGGAGAAAGGUUGUUUUCUGCUGCUCCAGAGAAGCGGACACGGAGCAAUGGAUCCAAACUACAAGAAAGAAGAUUCCACCUAAACAUUAGGAAGAACUUCCUGACAGUAAGAGCUGUUCGACAGUGGAAUUUGCUGCCAAGGAGUGUGGUGGAGUCUCCUUCUUUGGAGGUCUUUAAGCAGAGGCUUGACAACCAUAUGUCAGGAGUGCUCUGAUGGUGUUUCCUGCUUGGCAGGGGGUUGGACUCGAUGGCCCUUGUGGUCUCUUCCAACUCUAUGAUUCUAUGAUUCUAUGAUUCUAGAAAUCAGCUGGGUUGGCGCAGGAAGUAGAUCUUAACAAUUCAUGUAGGCAGAAGUUAGGCUGAGAGGCAGUGAUUGGCCUAAGGUCAGUGAGCUUUGUGGCCAAGUCUGGCUUUAUGCAACCAAAGCUGCAACAUAAACAAUGAAGCAUAUAAACUGUGUACAUUGUUUCUGUCUAUGCAGUGUUCACUGAGCAGUUAUCAAUGCUAUAUGGUAUAAUUUCAUUACAUUUCCCACAGAAAAUAACUUGGAGAUCUAUUUCAUUGCAGAUGAUGGGCUUAAUGAGGGACUACGAUGACGACGACUACUACUAGUUGUUUUCAGCUGGGGAGGGAUAAAAAAAUAAAGCCUCAUUCUUCAGUUUCAAUUUUCUUUCCAACCAGUGAACCAGAAGGAUUGUAGGAGGCCCUCCUACUUUCCUUCAGCAGACCUAUAUUUAUAGCAGAAGCAGCUGUAAACAGAGGUGGGGAAUGAAAUGGCAAUUGUGACAUAUGCAUCAGUGCAAUACCCCCCUGCCCUACUAUAGAUUUCCUAGCCCACCUGGUAAGCCCUGCUCCAAUACAUAUUGGUUGUCUUGUGACAGCAAAUAUGCUUAAUGUUAUGAUGGUUGUAGAGCAGUUACAGAGCACAUGCGUUUUCACAAAGGGAUUAGGCAUCUUGCUCUAACAUGGCAGGUUUUAACAUUUGCUACUAGUUGUUGGUUUUUAACAUAUCUCAGUAGGAUUUAAGUCUUAGGUUUAAUGUUCAUGGUAAGUUGUUUACCAUAGUACUACAAGAUCACCAGAUAAAAUCUGACAUAAACUUGGCAAAUUGUGUUGUGCUUUCCCUGUUUUUGAGAGCGCGUGAGCACAACAAUUUUUUAAAUCAAAUUAAGACACUUGGAAACUUACCUGAGGGGACAGAGAUCCAGUCCAACACCAUCAAAGUCACAAGUGACCUCUGCAACAACAAAACAAAAGAAUCCAGUUGUGCAGCAUAUAGAUUUGAGCAAGUUUUACACAGUGAUGAUGUACCUUCAGUCCAAGAAAGGACCUCUCAAACUAUGGGUUCCAGUGUGUUUGGGGGCAGGUUGUGCAAUGAAAUACAUAUCUUUGAAAUGCUUAAAUGUUAUUCAAAUACAUACUGCCUGUGCACAUAAAAUGAAGUAUAAAAUAUAAACUACAUCAGUAGUGCAAACAGUGAUGUUCUGGCACCUUUUGUUGGGAGAGAGUAGGACUUGAAAGGAGUAGCAAGUUUAUAGAAUGACAGAAGAAAAGCCCUCUUGGGUACUCCUACAGUGGGCAGCCAAAUGCCUAUGAGGAAGUUCACGUGUGUCCAAUUUCAAAACAUAUGAGAAACACAGAUUUAAGAACAAAAAUAUCCACAAAGUUUAUAUCAAUAGAGCAUCUUCAGGCAGAACUGGCAUAUUGAGUCAGUUUGGGUGUAAUGCUAAACCAUGAAUGAGCUACAAUGAGCUGCAGGCUCAGCACACUCCUUUUCUUCCUCUUUCGCACACAAGUGAAGGUGCUAAAGAGCUUCCAUCUGUCAGGGAUUCUUUAGUUGUGAUUCCUGCAUUGCAUGGGUUUGGACUAGAUGACCCUUGGUGUCCUUUCCAACUCUACAAUUUUAUGAUUCUAUGGUUCUACUAAGCUAGAGUCCCUAGAAUGAAGGAAAUGGCUUAUCAGAAUGGCCAGACCAGCCAUGAUUCUGGGGAGAGCAUUUUGUUGAUGCUGAUCUCUUAGCACAACCCUUAAAAUUAUGAUGGCAUCUUGAGCAGUAAGCAAAUGAAUCCUUGCUGAAGGCUUGCAAUCUACAACAACAGAAAAGAGAAAAAUGAGGAAGGGGAGAAGACACUGCAUAACCUUUCACUGCAUCACCCUUGUGGAAUGCCAAAAGUCCAAACAAAAGGAGAUAUUUGACCUUUAUGGAAUUGUCUGGUCUAGUCUUUUGAAUGCCAUGCUUCAGUAGAGGAGCUGAGGGAGUAAUAAUUAAGCAAUAAGCUCAUCCACAUGACAAAUUUGCUUCCCAUUGACAGGCGCUGUGCUCAUGUGAUAAGAAAGCUUAGUCUCUGAUGGCUUGAUCUGAGAUGUCUGUUUCAUAUAUAGCCAAACUCUAUUGUAAUAUUUGGCAGUUUGUCAUUCCCCACUUUUUAUUGUAAACUAAAAACAUACAAUAUGGACCGUUAAUAGAAAAAAAAGCUAUUCAUUUUGCCAAUAAUCAUUAAUUUUACCCAGUAAUGUAUCCAACAAGGAAGUGAUUUAAUAGAACUGUUGUCAUACCUAAUUAAUUGGCAUCCUAUAAUCUAUAUGUUUACCAGAAAGGAAUUACAUCAAUUAGAAUAAAGAAUGAGAUUUGAAUAUUUUCAACUUGUAUAGUCCACAAAACUAUUGAAGGUAUAAAAACACCUUAUUUCCCCCCAAUAGAUUUACUAUAUCAUCAAUCUCAUCUGUUAGACUGCAAUCCUACGCACACUUACCUGGGUGUAAGGACCUGUCAAUUCUGGUUUCUUCCAGUUUCUAUGUUUUCCUGCAUUAAGUUUGCGCUUAAAAGAAGAAGAAAAAGAAAACCUCAGAACAAUUUGCCAGCAUUUUAGUGCACAUUUUCUCUAAUAUAUACACACCUCAAUGUCCAGAGGCCACUUGAGCUUUCAGUAAUGAUGGCUCUGCAGAGGGGAGGUUCUGCCAAGCCUCCAAGCCUCACUAGAAAGAAAAAGAAAAAAGUGUGAUCCCGACAAUGGGAAUUAUAGAACCACUACUUCGUGUUCCUGGCAAAGGUAAGCCCUGUUGGAUCUGCCCAGUGACCCACCUAGUCCACAAGCAGGACCCAAGCACAAGAGCACUCUCCCCUCCUGUGGUUUCCAGCAACUGGUGUCCAGUACUGCACUUACUGUGGAGGCAGAACAUAGCCAUCAUGGCUAGUAGCCAUUGACAGCUUUAUCUUCAAUGAGAAGCCAUCUGAGACAACCUCCAAAAGCUCAUACAGGGAUGUUGCACUAACAACGCCCCCCUCUUGUCUUUGAUAAAGGAUGCUAUCCAGAGCCUUUAAAACUCAUCACCUAGUUUUCUAGUGACUGCAGUGUGAUGACCCACAUGGUAGUGAUGGCUGUGGAUGAAAACUAUAAUACAGUGGUACCUUGGUUUAAGAACAGCCCUGUUUACGAACUAUUUGGUUCACAAACUCUGCAAAACCAGAGGUAGUGUCCUGGUUAACAAACUUUACCUCGGUCUAUGUACGGAAGGCGAACGGUAGAAGGGCACCGGUGGCGGGAGGUCUCAUUAGGGAAAACGUGCCUCAUUUUGAGAACUGUUUCAGUUUAAGAACGAACUUCCAGAAUGGAUUAAGUUCAUAAACCGAGGUACCACUGUAUGCCAUUUGGAUACACUUUGGCCUGCCCAUAGUAAUUCAGUCCCAUGGAGGGAUCACCACAUUCAGAACUGCUUUUUUGGUUUAAAUGUGGCAGCAGGUGAUCCCAUUUUUAGCAGUUUCAGUGGGGGAGGGCUCAUAUCUGAUCAGGAUAAGAGAAUCCCCCCCCCACUUGAGGCUGCUAUUUGUUUUCCCUCUUGGGUCCAUUGCGGUUCUGAUGUGCCAUUUUCAAUGCUCAUUUAUAGUGGUUUGCAGUGAUGGUGGUAUAAAAGCCCCAUCUUGUCUCAAUGGAAAGGCGGCUGUUGCAUCAAGCAAUUCAUCAUCAUUCAUUAUUUACGCUGCCACUAUAACUGUACAAGGCACCAUGCAAGAAUUUAAAAGACAUGGUCCUGCCCGCAGACUUAUAAUCUAAUUUUGGGCAGAUUUCCAAAGUCUACUAGGAGCUCAACACUUGAGUACAUUAUCCCUCAGUGUGGAAAGUUUUCUAGCUUGUCAGGUAGAUGGUCAGAAUACGGGACUACCUGUUUCUUUCUGUACAAGUUAGAUUCAAUUUCUUAUUUAUGUUAUGUAGAGAAGUAUUGGGAAGUGUAUUCAUCUGUGCUGCUCUGAGUUCCAUACAAUUCCCUGCAUGUUCAUUCAGGAUUAGGAAUGUAGAAAGCUGUCUUAUACUGAAUUAGACCAUUGGCUCAUCUAGAUCAGUAUUGAUUACACUGACUGACAGCAGCUCUCAAUGAUUUCACAUUGGGGUCUCUCCCAUCUACAAAUGCUGGGGAUUGAAUCUGGGACCUUCUGCAUGCAAAUAAGAUGCUCCGCCACUGAGCCACAACCCUUCCCCAAUUAAUAAAUUUAUUUGAUCUUACCUUCAGGUAACUUUGUCAAGUACCACUGCCUUAAAGUAUAGUGCAAAGGCGACAAAACCAGUAAACAGUCAGUUUGCAUUUCUUAGUGCAGAAAGUAUUGAUUUGAUGUGUAGAGAUCUUUCCUAUUCUGCUUAAUUCAAAAGGGUUCUGGAAGCUUCUAUAUGUGAAAGAAACAAGCAGAAGGUUCAUGAUGUUUGGGUUAUUCCUCCAGAGAAGCUGAGUUCAGCUGGUUUAAACUGGUUCUCUUAUCUCUUUCAGUCAAGGUCAUGCUGACUAUAAAAGUAAGGCCGGAAGGAACCUGGGAUUCACUUUCUCUUUCUAUUUCUCUUCCUUCUGGUGUGGUGUUCUGUAUAUAGUGUUAAGCUUUAGACUUAGUAUAAUUUAUUAUAAGUGUCAGUACACCUUUCAACCGAUGUCAGCGACUGGGCUCAAUAACUGGUUCUGCCCUGACUGGGCUAGGCAACUGGAGCACUUUCAGAGACCUUCCAAUCCUGGAAAGCAGGUCUCAGUGCCCUGGACUCACAGCUGUGCAUUGUGAGCACCAGACUCAGCAGAGCAUAAAUAACGUGGAAGCUAGCUUUUAUUUCUAAUAGCUACUACAAACUAAAGAACUACUGGCUUGCAUGAGUGUUACAUCUCCCACUCAGCCAUCUAGUCACUACAUAGAUAAGACUCUCUCCACACACAGAGUCAGGCAGUCAGUAAGGAGCGGAAGAGUAGAAGAGCAGUUUCCACCCCCUCCUUUCUCAAAACAUCAGAUCAGGAGAUUCUCGCAAUGGGAGGGGGUGAAAAUAUCAACAAUAAGUUAAGUUAAGUCUGCGACAACUGGAUUUCUUAUGGAUAGUGCCAGUCCUGAAUGUAUUGGAUUUGUGACCAUUAUGCUCAUUAUGCUGCCUUCAGUAGCAGCAAAGCUCUGCUGGGUGAAAUACAAUUGCCUCUGGUCUAUUUUUUGGGAAUCCUGCAAUGUUGUUACUCUGCUAACGAUGCAUUGAGGUUCUGCUCUGGAUCAAUAUUGAGUAGAAUUCCAUGACAUAAACAAUUGCACAAUUUCAUUCACAAGCAAUAUGAUUUUUCAUAGGCAAGUGUCCACAGAAACUCAGUGAAUUAGAGCCAUUUUUAAUGUCCAGGAGUUUGUAUAGUGUUUCUAGAAAAUUAUAAAUUUGAUUGCAAAACGAGGAAAAUACUGUUGGCCAGGCCUUUUAGAUUUUUGACAUGUUGGAAGGGGAAUAUUGAACUAUAUGGUGUCCAUAAACUUGACCUAUGCACCAAGUUUUGUAAUAAAAGAAGAAGGAGGAGAAUUCUAUCUCAAUAGGGGCCUCUCUGGGCAGUGUCCAGUAGUGGAGUGUGUGGUGGCUCAGUUGGUUAGAGCGUGCUAGGGAAAAAUAAAAGUAAAAAUGAUAACUUUAAUGAGCAGUCUCCUGAUUUCCAUUCCCAGUCUUUCCUUUAAACCCCAGGAAGAUUAUCCCAAAUGCUCAUGCUGGGUUAGGAAGCAAAUGUUUUCUGUCAGGGAAAGAACAGGGAUAUUGUGCAGACUCUAAAGUUUCGGAAGAACAAGUGACCUUAAAUCCUUAAGGUGUUUUCUACCCACAUUAGUUUCUCAUUGCACUGAUAAUUCUUAUCUACAAAAACACAUAAUGAGAGUGAUUAUGAUGGGAGAAAUACUUUCAUAAUCCAUGAAAGACUAGAAGUACUACCAUGCCACAAGAUGAACUGAAGGGAAGCAGGAAGCUACAGUUGACAAAUCAAAAUUGGAAAGAAAAUGAAUGUUCCCCUCACUUCAGACAAUCCAUUCAUAAUAACACACACACACACACACACACACACACACACACACACACGUGUGUGUGUGUUUGUGAUGCUACUCAGAGUACAGAGUCUUGGCACCUCUUCUUUUUUUUGCUGCCCAUGACACCUAUUUUAGCUGGUACCCACAGCACUUUUAUAAUACAGUGGUACCUCAGGUUAAGUACUUAAUUUGUUCUGGAGGUCUGUACUUAACCUGAAACUGUUCUUAACCUGAAGCACCACUUUAGCUAAUGGGGCCUCCUGCUGCUGCUGUGCCGCCGGAGCACGAUUUCUGUUCUCAUCCUGAAGCAAAGUUCUUAACCUGAAGCACUAUUUCUGGGUUAGCGGAGUCUGUAACUUGAAGCGUAUGUAACCUGAAGUGUAUGUAACCUGAGGGACCACUGUAUAUGAGUACCAGCACUUCAUUUUUUACCUCCCCUACAUAACACAAACACACAAUAGCUAUCCUCUCUCCCUCUUCUCCACCCUCUCAUCUCCAUUAGGGCCAAUCUACACAUGUAGAAAGAAAGCAUUGGCGAUGAAUUACCACAAACUGUACCAUUCAGCCUGCAGAUAUGGGCACUGCAAAUGUGGAGAGCUUCUUCAACAGUUAUGUCACUUUCUGUGGAAAACAUGUUAGGGGAGAGGUGCAACCUAGCCUUCUGCCCGAGGUACUCAUUUUCUGUGUACAACAAAUUGCUUCCUGUUUGCCACUGUUUAUUCACUCUCUUUCACUUACAGUCUACAAUGGACAGGGCCGGCCCAAGACAUUUUGCUGCCUGAGGACAAGAUCCUGCUCGCCCAUUACCUGCACAGAAUUCAAUCAGAGGGAAAUUUAUUUGAAUCUUUCUUCGACACUGGUGACAAAUAAAUACCCUCCACCACUCCAGAGGACAACGGGUUAGCAUAGAUGUGACCCUUUAGCAGAAAAAUCUUCCCAUUAUGGUUUCACAGGCCCUGACAACCGUUUUUAUCCAGGUGUAACUUGACUACUUGAGAAGGAAAGGAUGGGCCUGUGUACAGUAUACUGGGGGUAUACUAUUCCAUUCCACAGUAGCCAAAUGAAUAUUUUCUGGGGUGCUCCUCUCACAAGCAAUAUCUUCAUCCUAAACUAAGCAGAUAAUUGCUUGUCAAACUGAUUGAUGUUCUGUAGAAGUGUCUUUUCCAGGAAUCACCCCCUGCCUGUAAAAGACAAUUUGAUUUUGUACUAGACUUUUCUCUGUCUCCCCCCCCUCUCCUUCUCCUUCUCCAAGAGCUGUAACUUUUUCCUCUGCUUAAAAGUAGUAAUUAUUUAAUGAAUAGCCAUCCACAUUUCCUUGUCAGUUGUUCGCUGCAACAAUCAGCUGGUUUUGUCUGCCUCGGGUAGCAACAAAAAAUAUUACAAUAAUAAUAACAAUAAAAGGAAUGUUCUUUACUCUAACAGAUACUACACCACAUGUCCUGCGGGGUUCAUUGUUUGGAUAAGUAGACUUUUUAAAAACGCAGGCAGCCAUGUUAGUCCAUAGAAAAAAUCCAAGGAGAAAAGGGGAUUAUAUUUAACUGUUUUACACUAUAUCAUAGUUUUGCACAUUUCACUGGAGUUUUGCUUAUCCUUCUUCAUCUUACUACUUUCUCCAUGUGCUGUCCCCAAGCACAGAAACUGAGAAUAUUUUAAAGGGGAGUGGGUUGGGGGGGGGAAAUACCCUUGUUUGUUUCCUCCUCUGCAAAGACUCACCCCUCCACAAAAGCCAAAUCUAUAAACCUCUGUUGAGCUCUCAGAAUUGAGGUCAGGGCUUUUACAAGCUUGAGUUUGUAUCAUGAACCAGUGCCCAGAGUUAAUUGUACACAAAGAGACAUUGUUGUUUCCAUUAGGGGCUGCAAUACGACUGCAUUUUAAUUAUUUGGUAACAUUUCACCCAUUAUGUUACUCACUCCUCUUCUCCCUUUCUCACCAAGGAAGAAAAUUUCAGCCUCACAAUGUGCCACAACCAACACUCAGGGAGGCCAUGUCUCCUUUUUCUUUUUUAACAGAUGGCAGUCAUCUGUCUGAAGGGCUGUGAGUGGAAAGUCCUCUGUUUGAAGGAGUCAUCUCUUGGAAGGGCAUUCUGAACCAAACAAGAAAGAAAGAAAGAAAGAAAGAAAGAAAGAAAGAAAGAAAGAGAAAGGGAGGUCAGGGGCCUUGGCAUAAGAACAUAAGAAGAGCUCUCUUCUGGAUUAGGCCAAAGGCCCAUCCAGUCCAGCACUCUGUACACAUGGUGGCCAACAAGAUGCCCACAAUAAGUCCACAAACAAAAUUUGAGUGCAAAUGACACCUGUUUAGGAUAGGCUUUAUGCACAAGCUAAGUAAACUACAGUGCAGAACCUCAAAGUAUGAGGGACUGCUAAAUGCAAAAAACAAACAAAGCACCAAAUUUCAAGUUUUACAAACUGGUUGCAAGAUAUAUGCUUCCACCAGGGCGAUAGUUUUUAGUUGCAUCCUCUCCUGUGUGCCUGUAUAUAUGCAAAUAUAGCAAUUUUUUAUUUCUGUUUUUACUGUACUUUCUGUAGAAUAAUGCACAUAUUACAUUUACAGAUUACAGGUUACAGAUGCUUCAGGUUACAGACACUUCAGGUUACAGGCUCCGCUAACCCAGAAAUAGUACCUCGGGUUAAGAACUUUGCUUCAGGAUGAGAACAGAAAUUGCGCAGUGGCAGUGUGGUGGCAGCAGGAGGCCCCAUUAGCUAAAGUGGUACCUCAGGUUAAGAACAGUUUCAGGUUAAGAAGGGACCUCCAGAACGAAUUAAGUUCUUAAACCGAGGUACCACUGUAAUGCUAUGAGGCCUCUGAAGCUUAACAUAGAUAAGGGCUUCAGCAUUUCUUAACCAAGCCCACAACAACACUUUCCCUAACUACGAUUCCCAACAAAUGCUGCUCAGAGUUUUACUGCCUCCAACAGGGGAGAUAGAACAUAGCUAUUUUGACUAGUGGCUAUUGAUAGGAAUUGGCAUUGACCAUCAACAGUUAACACCAGGACAGAGGAAAACAGGCAUCUAGCGCCUUCAAAAUGGCUGCCUUGGUGCCACAGAUGCUCCUGGAAGUGGAGGGUGUUGACAACUGACCCUUUGGUGCCUCCGGUGUUAACAUUACUGUAAAAGAAAAGAAAGCAGUGACUAUUUCCAGGGUCACUACUACCGGUAGGCAAAUCUGCCAAUUUUGGGUCCUGUCAGUUUCACACCCCCCCAAUUUUAAGUUCAGUUCUCCACAUUUCCACAACAGUUUAUGAUUUUUUUAAUACGUCUUCCUGAAAAUUCAUUUGAAUUUUAGUGAAUUUUCUUCUAAUAUACAUAUAUUUUAUACAGUUUUGCCUAAUAUACCCAUUUUUGCAGAGCAAUUCCCUCCCUAGUACAAUGCAUUUUUAGGUUAUUUUCACCAAUAUGUGCAUUUUUUAUGCACACUUGACUUCAGUAUUUACUUUUUUGUACAUCUUAUUUGGCUGAAGAACAGUAUUGCAAAACUCAGAAAAAUGCUGGUGGCUGGCCAUGCUUCAGUUCUCAUAUUGCUUUGGACAGUGUGAAUUAGGUAGGUUCACCUUUAAAUGUGAACCAAAUUUCUUAAUCAUCCUUAGUCACUACCACCUUUUUUUCCUACAACCAUCCUCUCUCUAUCUCUAAAAAUAUCAUCAAGAUAGGAGUCUUGGUAUGAUGUUCUGUACUGGGAAGCCCCUGGGCAGCUGUUCAUCUUAUGCUGAAAUUCCCUCUGCCAUGCAACAAUGAAAGGAACAGAAGCCCUCUUCACUUUUUCACCUGGCCAGUUCCACUAACUAAAGGAAUGCCUCUAAUUAAUCAAUUUAGAACUUUUGACUGAUUAUCAGCCCACUAAACUGAUUAAAGUUUGGAGACCUAGUUUGGAGACCUAGUUGUCACACCCUUCAUAGUUUGAACAAAUUGUCUAGGAGCUCUGUUUGAAAGAAGCAGAAAAUGUAAUAUGGGCCGAGCAUGUCCAUAUUUUUGUGUGUGGAGGCAGAAUAUAGUUUCUGAGAAAACUCAUGACUCCUACCUAUGUUCUGUUCAGCAUACAUAACUUGAAUUAGCUUGAGAUGAUUGAAAUAGACCUAAGGUACAAUGCGGAAAAUGAUGCAUGCAGUCAAUAUUUUUAAAAUUCAAUUAAUGAUAUUAAUAGUUUGGUGUGGUGAUAUACCUUUAAGAGAACUCAGACUUAAUCACAUCACAGAAAUGCAUUAACCUAGGAUUUGGAAGGAACUUGUAAGAAGGGAAUACGGAGUUGGAGGAAGCAGUUAGCAGAGAGGAAUAUAUGUAUUGCUGUUGCCAAAGCUUGCAGUUCCUUGGUUUGAAAUCUGAAUGUCAGUGACUCAUAAUGCUUUGUUACAGAGUAAGCUCUAUGGUCCUGAAAGCUGUGUCCUAACUACUUACUUGCUUAUUUAGAACACAGAUUAGACAAGCUGUAUAAGGGACUGUGAGGAGCUGAGGUAAAGUUGUUAAAAAUGAUUAGGGGUUAUAUGCCGCCUCUCCUCCUGCCCCCACUGUCUCUGCCAGAUGCCAGGGCACAGGUGAGAUCUGUUCUCAGGAUGAGGAGUCAACUCAAAGUUAGAAGCAGUGGCUAGUUGCUUUUCUUUUUUUCUUCUCUGUCACCACAGGUGCAAAAGCAGACUUCUUUUGUUGAUUUGUCAGCCAUUUUGUUUCCCCCAUAAUACCCUGGGCAUAAUGUUGUUCUGGGGUGUUGAGGAAAUUAAAAAUAGCCAUACACAAAUAAGUAAAUGAGGAAUCGGAGAAGGGCCAUAGCUCAGUGGUAGAGCAAGAUCAUGGAGCUCAACUUCAGGACCAUGCUCUUCAAAAGCUGGAUGAGAAGAUUGGAAGAAAGAAAAAAGUUGAAGAAAAGUGCAUUUUAUCAUUUUUCCAUGUAAACCAAGGAUAAUGAAAAACAUAUGAAUAAUUUUGGUUCAACCCUAGUUUCCUUUGUAUACAAGUUCCAGCCUUUCAAAGUCCUUAAUCAUAACAAACUAUAUGUCAGGCUUCCCUUUUCUGGCUGAUCUUCCACAUCCUUCUAAGAUGGUUGUUUCUUUGCUCCCUUUGUUCUUUGGAGAGGCCAUCACAUGAAUAGAGAAAAAGCUUACCGUGACACCUUAUCAAGAUAUAUUCCUGCAAGAGAUUAUUUACCGAAAUAAGUCAUCUUCAGUCUAAGCCAGCCUUUCUCAACCUGUGGGUCCCCAGAUGUUGUUGAACUCCCAUCACCUCUAGCUAGCAAGGCCAGAGCUCAGGGAUGAUGGGAGUUUGUAGUCCAACAACAUCUGGGGACCCACAGGUUGAGAACUGCUGGUACUAAGCCAUUCUAGCCAUGAUAACCCUGACAUGACAAAACUACAUGAGAUCACUGUGCAAUCUUCUCUUGUUGCCCUGCAUUCAUUUGUGCUGCUUGUUUUCCCUGUGCUUCCCAUAGGUAUGUUGUUGUUGUUGUUUAGUUGUUUAGUUGUGUCCGACUCUUCGUGACCCCAUGGACCAGAGCACGCCAGGCACUUCUGUCUUCCACUGCCUCCUGCAGUUUGGUCAAACUCAUGCUGGUAGCUUCGAGAACACUAUCCAACCAUCUCGUCCUCUGUCGUCCCCUUCUCCUUGUGCCCUCCAUCUUUCCCAACAUCAGGGUCUUUUCCAGGGAGUCUUCUCCUCUCAUGAGGUGGCCAAAGUAUUGGAGCCUCAGCUUCAGGAUCUGUCCUUCCAGUGAGCACUCAGGGCUGAUUUCCUUCAGAAUGGAUAGGUUUGAUCUCCUUGCAGUCCAUGGGACUCUCAAGAGUCUCCUCCAGCACCAUAAUUCAAAAGCAUCAGUUCUUCGGCGACCAGCUUUCUUUAUGGUCCAGCUUUCACUUCCAUACAUCACUACUGGGAAAACCAUAGCUUUUACUAUUUGGCUGAGCUUGGAACUCCUUAUCAAUGAAAACAAAGCUUGAAGAUAUGUAUCUGCAUUUGCCCUGCCUCUCUUCUCCUGAAUUAAGAUUGUAAUCAUUUUAGGGACAAGGACUGGUCUUUUUACCAAUAACAUCCUAUAAAGACAACAAUGACACUAUAAGGCUACAAGCCUAUGCACACUUAAUUAGGAAUAAACUCUAUUACCCUUUGCAUGUUAGGCAUUUGGCAGAACUCAGAUGUUCCACCCAGAGGUUUUAAAGAUUAUUUAUGAAAUUCUACAUGAAGAAAGGGGAUUCAUAAAACUUCAUGAAAUCCACUUUGCUUGCAAAAAGGGGUGUGAGUGUGUGGAAUAUUAAGAUUAUGUGUGUAAAAUGUAUGGACCUAAUUUGUACAAACACAAUUGUUGCAAAUAUUUCUAAAAUAAGUUUUUAUUAAAUAUUUUCUUGGAUUACAAAUGUACGUGAAUUGUCUCUAUUUUCAGGUCAUAGAGUUAUUUUCUACAGAUUAGUUACAUUCUAGGUGAGACAUUAAUGUUGCAAUUGCUGCAAAUGUUUAGCUUCUAGCCCUUUUAAUAGGAAAUGAAAACCAGGAUCCUAAUCUGAUAAACUACUAUGAAGAAAAGAGACUUGGUUUACUUUGGCAUUGAGAUUAAAUGCUAUGCAUAUGACACAGUUAGAUUCUCAAAUAUGCCAGAGGGGCUAAUCCAAGAUCCAAGUCAGUUGAUUUUUGUUUUUGUUUUUAUUCAUUGACAGCAAUAGACCAUGUCUUUCAUUCAUUGCUACUCUGGACGGAACAGAGAAAACAGCAAAGAACCGCAGCUCAGUGGCACAGUAUCUGCUUUUCAUGCAGAAGGCCCCAGGUACAAUCACUGGUAUCUCUAGAUAGGGCUGGGAACACCUCCUGUCUGAACCUCCAGGAGUCAGUGUAAACAAUACUGAACUAGGUUGGCCAAAGGCAGCUACAUUGUACAUUGCAUAAUAGCAGGGGCAGCCAAAAUGACAUUGGACUUCAGCUUCCAUCAAAUAUCCUAUUAAGAGAAACCCAUCACUGCUUAAAUCUGCUCAUUUUAUAGGUUAUUAUUCAGACAGACUUUUAAGGAUUACUUUGGUAUUAUUGGGGACUGGCUUCUAUUGGAUAGUUUUAUUAGCUUUUCUGCUUAUUCCACCCCCCCUUACAUUUAGAUUUGUAUUGUGAGUUGGCUUGAACUGUAUGUUCAGGAAAGAGGGUAUAAAAUGUAUAGAGUGGCAACAAUAAAAGAAACCCAUCAAUAUAAUUCCACUGGAUGCCCUGGUCUUUAUACCAAACUUUUUUUUAAUGAAAAGAAGUAUACAAACACCUGACUAAAUGAAUGAAUAAAUAACCCAUCUCAAAAUGCAGUGGUUUACUGCUUUAAUGAAGGCUCCAAUAAAGUGUGGUGACACCUCACAGACUGUCUCCUUUAUUGAGGCAAUGGCUCCCUUUGUCAGAUAUCUGAAGAGGAAUGAGGAAAUCUACAUACGUGUAGGUAAAUAUAUUAUAGAAGAGAAAUGAAGUUACUAAGGAGAAGAGGAAUACAAGAAUAACAGGAUCCAAGUGCCUUUUGUCUUUUCUCUUAUUGAUAGUUCUUGAUAGCAAAUCUACACAACCCCCAAUCCCACACAUUUGUAAAUGUUUCUUUGCUUAGUCUGAUUUUGUCUGCAUUUGCCAAUCAUACUGAGAGGAAAUAUUCAAGGCAUUACUUCCCAUCCAUUGACCAUUAUAUGAACAUGAAAAUCAAGGAAGUUUGCAGUGAAAGACUAUCCAGUACAGAAGAUCAUGGUGACUUAAGAGACCUGAAAAGGCCAAGGGGUACAUUACUUCUUCCAUUUCCUCUUUGUAUAUUUUAUCAAGUGCACAGGACCGGCUGUGUUGGAAAGACUGGUGCCCCUAAUUAGAGUAAUAAUAUAACAAAGGAUAAAUCAGCAUGUCCGGUGAAAUCCCCAGGGUCCUCAAGGCCUAUGCACGGCAUAGAUGUAAGACAAGGGGAAGGAAGGCAGGGAAGUCCUACAGAUUAAUCAGAUAAUAAAGGAAAUUCCUUCAUUCUCAAGCCUUCAGUCCUUCCCCACAACUCGCCUCUUCAGAAUGCACAGAAGCUGUGUAGAUUCCUCAGACCUGAGGUGGAGAUAACAUUGAUGCUUUGGCCAUGGCAAGUCAUACAACAAACACAACUUUAUCUCUCAUCGCCACAUGGAGCCCCAGAAUCAAUAAGCACUCAUCACUCUGACAUUGUGCAGGAAAGAGUUGUAAGUGGCUCAUCCUCCUGCCCCCCUUUCCCUUUUCUACGAGUUCAAAGUUCAUGCAAACAUGGCCUUGGCAGAAACAGGAAAUACAUGAAUAUUGGUAGAAGUGUAGGUUUUGGCAGCUGCAGUGUUGCAAAAGGCUGAAAGGGAAAAUGCUGGCUUUGUAGGGUGUUUGUUUUUUUCUUAUUUGUUGGGGCGUCCCUCUGUGAAGAUACACAUCUCUCUCUCUCUCUCUCUCUCUCUCUCUCUCUCUCUGUGUGUGUGUGUGUAGGGGGGAGGUGUGUUUUCCUGUAGGCCUGGCAGGAAAGAGCAAGACGAAAGAAAAGAGAAGAAAUCCUGGUACUGGAAACAUCUGGAUUUUUAUAUGUGCCUAGCAUCUCUAGAGAGCUUGCUUUGUUUGUCCUUCUUGCCAACAAAUUCAAUAGUUUUCACUGAAAUAUACGGGAGCAGGAAAUAUAUAUAUAUUAAAGGUUAAGUAUUCCUAUUUUAGCUCAGUCUUUGGCUAUUAAGAAUGCCAUCAAUAUGAGCAGACAAUGGACUAUGUACAUCUCCAAAACAGAACAAAAUUAAUUCUGACACACAGGUCCAGAAUAAUUAAAUAAUACUAAAAAUCAGAGUGAGUGACCAAGUAAGCAGAAUUAUUAGCGGGUAGAUCUUUCUCAUAGGCAGGAUUCAUGCUGCUACUAUGUCUCAGACUGGAAUCAGCCCUACUCCUUAUGCUGCCUGUAUUAUUUUACAGCGUGGGCGUGUGUCUUCUUCACAAACCUCCCAAGAAAUAUUUCAGCAGACCAACACUUAUUGUUGCCUUCAAAAGUGUCGACAGGUUCUCCACCUACCUUGUGUGAUGGCCUGGAACUGUGCAAGUUACAUAAUUUGUGGCCAAACCCACCAGUCCAUUGCAUGUUCUCCUGCAAAGUAGCUUGAGAUGGUGAGGUGAAGAAGGCAUUGCAGGAGGGGGGGGGCACAACUCGGCAGGUCCAAGAAAUUUUGGAAAUGUAAUAGCCAGGCAAAAACUUCCAGAAUCAGCUGGUUUUUAUUGGACUUUACAAGUCUUGUUGUGACACUAUCUCUUGAAUAGUUUAAAGAUGGCAGUAGUCUGUUGCCAUAUUAUUUCACAUAUCGGGUCUACUUCCUGGUGGGGCCGGGUUGCGGUCUGGCCCCCUAGCCACUCCCCUUAGCGUCGGGGCGGGACAGCAUCCUGCAUCACGCUGGGGGAGACCCCAGCUACGUCAGGUUGCCAGACAGCCAAUCAGGUUGCUUGGGGGUGUGGCCGGGGACAAUUUAAGCCACGGCGCGACUCUGAGGCUUCCUCUUUCAGCCUCGCGCCACGGAUCUCCCACCCCCACCCCUUUUCAGGUUGCGUCAUUGGCCUUGCUAUGGACUUUGGUUAGUCACCGUUGAGGGGCCUGGUAGGACUUUUUCCACUUGGCAAAUUGGCACCAGCCACUUGGUUUUCACCUACCUUAUAGCAAUUGUCACAACUUUGUAAGGUUUUGGCGGUUAGGCAUUGGAAUAGUGAUGUGAGGGGGGGAGGUGCAACCAUCAACUGCCCCUCCAUGAUUAAGGGUAUUCCGUUAAAGGAAUCCGGUGGAUCUCAUCUGAAGCCCAGGGAGGGGCUAGGGCCAUGUCACGACCCCAGCGGGAACCCAGGGGUGCUCGAGUCAAUCCACAUCAGUGGGUCUCCCCCUACUGGUGGUUUACCCUUUCUUGCAAGGCAGGCAGGAGUAAGAUAUAGUCUGUGGAUGCCAAUGCCUAAGCCAAUACCGCUCACAUUCUGUAACCAAUAAAGUUGUGGCCUAAAUUCUGCCCAUUAACAUUAACCGAAAAUCUGUAUCUUUGUGUCUUUAUUCUCCUGGGGUGGCUUGGGGGCCUUGACAUGCAAUAGGAGAACAAUUUAUAAGCACUGACUGGUGCUGCAAUUGUUUGAAACCUGAUGGCUUUUCUGCUCCUCCCAUUUUAGACAGCCUAUGCCACGGGUCAGCAAACUUUUUCAGCAGGGGGCCAGUCGAAUGUCCCUCAGACCUUGUGGGGGGCGGCGGACUAUGUUUUGAAAAAAAAAAUAUGAACGAAUUCCUAUGCCCCACAAAUAACCCAGAGAUGCAUUUUAAAUAAAAGGACACAUUCUACUCAUGUAAAAACACCAGGCAGGCCCCACAAAUAACCCAGAGAUGCAUUUUAAAUAAAAGGACACAUUCUACUCAUGUAAAAACACGCUGAUUCCCGGACGGCCCGCAGGCUGGAUUUAGAAAGCAAUUGGGCUGUAUCCGACCCCCAGGCCUUAGUUUGCCUACCCCUGGCCUAUGCUCAUUCAAAUGGCCUUAGUUUGCCUACCCCUGGCCUAUGCUCAUUCAAAUUGCAGCAUACCUGGAUUUCAGGAACAUAGGCAAUUUGGCAAUUACAUCCAUGUGUACAAACAACCCAGGAGGGGGUGAAACAACAAGUGGGCCUAGAUCAAACUAGGAGGGCACAGGACAUAAUUCAUCAUUUAUCUAGCUUCUAAAUCAAAUCUGCUUUUCAGUUCUGGAAAAGGUAAUUAUUCUCCAUGUGUCGAUGCACUGUAGAGAUCCCAGUUCUAAAUCCAAUCAGACUUUCUGAGAUUUCUGAGUUUUCCCAGAUGGAACUUACAAAAGAUCUUCUUGAUCAUUCCAAUAGUCCAAUCACUACUUUUCAACUGGAAACAAACAAUUUUGUUUUGAAAGAGAGUUUAAAGUGGCAUAACAGAAAAUGGCAUAACAGGAGGAAGGGGAGGAAACUGAAUUAGAACUGAAGCACAAUUGAAUUGAAGCACAACCAACCUUUGAAAUUUGUAUUUAUCUGAAUUUUGCAAUGCAAUUCGCCAACCAAACUAUGUUUACAAAAUACAUUUAUAGGGGAAGGUGUGCAACCAAAGGAAGAUAUUUGUGAAAAUAAUAAAUAAAAGCACAUUAUAUUAGGGGAAAUUUCUUAAAAAAUGUGUACAUUGGUCAGAACAGAAUGUAAAAAUGUGUUAUUAAAAGAAAUGCAUACAAAAAUGCUGAUUAAUUUUCAUGAUUUUUUUUUAAAAUUUGCACAUUGCUGCAUAAAUGUGGAGAACUGAAUUUAAGAUUGGAAAAAUAAGAAACUCAGAGAACAAAAUCUGACAGAUUCUUUCAUCCCUAAUGCUGUUUCUUUGGUCUCACUGUUGCCUCUGGUUGGGCAGGCUUUUCAGUUAUCUGAAGCACUAAACAAAAAAACAUUCAGAAUCUAUCUACUCAAGAACAUGAACUGAGAUGAGUAUAUGACCCAAAAGUGAUGAUGACAACUUUUUAGAACACCUUCAGGUCUGUCGCUGUUGUCAUUUAUCAUAGACCUUUGUGUGUGAGAGAGUAUCCAAAAACUGUACAGCCAAAAUGGAUAUUCAUGCUUACAUUCUGUCUAGCUAGCAUAGGUUGACUCAGAAGUCAUUUCUACAAGGAUAGAGGUAAAAAAUUUCUGGAAAUAGACUGGGCGCUGAGCCAUAAAAAUCAUGUCUCAUGGGUCAAGGGGUUACUGUCAAAUAGUUCAAAGUGUGUAGCCCCAGCAUAGCUAAACAUGUAGAUUCUAGAAGUUCUGGUCCUUAUCCAAAGUUUAUUAUCUUGUCUUCCUUAGUCACUAAUGCUUUAAUCUGAUUCAUGGGCAACUGAAAGUCAUGGGAACUUCACCAUUGAUUUGAGAUAAUCUAUGCUCACAUAUUCAUACAUCACUCUUUAGACAUCUGGCAACUGGGGUUUGUAAGCAAUGUGUAAGCUUGAAAUGUACAUUCAAAUGUACACAAAAAUCCUGCUGAUUUGAGAUCAGGGUUAAGGCUAUUCCAUGUUGCCUCAAGUUCUACAAAUGCCUACCCAGAAAGCUGAGGUAACUUUUAUCUAUUUUAGUAAUUUAACUAUUAUAUGUUUAAAAGCUUGGUUAUAAAUGUUUCCUGAUUUUAUUGCUUUAUCUUUAUUGUAAACUGCUUUAGCCCCUGCCCCCAAUCAAGUGGGGUAUCAAUUUUAUGAAAUAAAUAAAUACAAAACCAAGAAACUGGAAAUGAAGGCUGAGGCCUUAACAGGCAUAUUUUUUUUAACAGCAAUGAUGUUGUGUGAUGUCACAAAUUGUGCUUGCAUACAAUUUACCUCAGUGCACCUGACUUUUUAAAGGCCCAGAUGCAGAUGGGAGGAUGGAGUGCCUGGGACUAGUAAAGAUGCUUUAUGUUGUCCUCGUAUUACAUCAUGAAGCACUGGAGCCUUAGUGUCAGGAGCUGGUUAGACAAAGAGGACUGGUGGGAGGCACCAGCUGGGGAACCCCCAAGGGAAAUCUCAGAGGAAGAAGUCUCAGAGCCUGGGGAUUAGUGGUGGGACACUGCAGAGAGGUCAGAGGGAGAAGACUGGGAGGAGGUACUCGAUGUCAAAGAGGCAGCAGGGUUUGGUGAGCAGGAAGAGCCUGUGAGAGGGAGCAGUUCAGACUCUGAGACUGAAGCAGAGGAGGGGGGCCAAGAGGAUGCUGAAAAUUCCCAGGAGUCUCCCUCUCCUGAUGCAACAAGCUUCCCUUCCCCCUGGUCUCCAAGAACGUGCAGAAUAAUGAGAGCAGAACAGAAGCCAGAGGUGUGCCGACACAGUCUGAGACUGCUUGGAAAACAUCCAGGAGAGGAGGAGCCUUAGCAGGGGUGGAAGGCAGGGGCCUUCAGUCCUGGAAACUGCUCCAUAGGGGCAAGACUUGCUGGGAAGUGUUGCUGAGUUGUGGGGUAUUUGUGCGUGUAUGUGUUCAGUGUGUGGCCAUGUCUUGUGAGGGGCUACUUUAAUACAUACGUACAAACAAAAUUUUAUAUGUAUGCCACAGCCCAAACCACGUUCAGGGUGGCUUAAAACAUAAAAAAUACAUAACUACAACAUAACAUAAACAAUAAAUAAAACAUUUUAAAAAAAAAACCAUGAACAAACCGAACAUUUCCCACAUAAAUCACAAGAUUUAAAAUAUAUAAAAACCCAACAACAACAACCCAUCUCAAACAACAUCCCCAGCCCCAGCUUUUGUAGCUGGAGUCAGUUAGGGCCCCACCCUCCCAGGCCAGAUGGAAAAUGGUCUUCAAGGUAGGGAACAGGUCUUCCAGGACUCACAGCCAAGAUGGCCUUUUUUGAACAACUUUUGAACUGUUGCUCAGUACUUCACCAACUCAGUGAAAGUGUGUGUGGUCCUCAACAAGCAAGAACAAAGUAUACCCGUGGUUUUCAUCAAACUUAGAAAGAAUUAUACAAUAUCCCUGCAUAAAAAUUGCAAUAAAAGGGGUCAAUGUGUCAAUUUUCAGCACAUUUUCACUUGUGCCAAUUUCCAUUGGAUUAGUUUGAAAUUUGGUACAUUUGUAGACCCCAUCAACUAGACCAUGUGCGCCAAGUUUCAUGUUAUUAGCUCAGCAGGUGUCUUUUUAUAAGCUAUAGAAUUAUGAGCCUUAUAAAGGUGGGAUUUUUCUUCUUGCUACACACUUAACUAAGUACAUGUGUAAACUUCAUUUCCUUGAUUUGCAAUGCUUAGGCUGCCAUGACUCAUGCACAAAAGGGAGGUGGCAGCACACACAGGGAAACCCCAAGUAGUGCAGUAGUAUAGAAAAAACAUUUAGGUAAAACACCUGGGGAGGACACCGCAAAACUGCUCAAUGAGGCUUCAACCUGCUCAGUGGUCAUGGGAUGCUGACUGACUAUUGAAGGGUAAACCCUCAGGAAAUUGGAUGGGUGGAUGAAUGAGAUAGAGGAAGGUUGCUGGAACCAUGAACAGGAGCACUACAUCCUUCAACUAUUUUGUUGCAGAUUGCAUUUGUACUUUCUAUUAUCAGACUCUGAGUUUAUGAGUUUUCCCUGACGGUUUCUGAUGCACUCCAUUCUGCCUGGCAAAUGCUAGAAGAAAGAGAAUUAGAAGUCAUUUUGGGUGUCCCAGGCGAGACAAUUAGGUACCAUAGAGCUUGAAGAAAUAAAGCUACCUGGCCUGAGCCAGCUGUUAUUCCAGGCCUUUACAAAUGUAACAGGCUAAUUGCAGCUCAGUCUCAUAGUCAGUAGCAGUCAGUGUGGUGGAAUAGGGUCAUGGAACCAACUUCCUGCACUUGCAUUGAUGCAAUUUAUCUGGGUGGGACUGGGGUGGAGCAGGGUGAGGAUUGGGGUGUGCUGAGCCAAUCUUGCACUCCCACCAGUGCAUCUAUGCCAAUCUGACACUCCCGCCAGCAGAUCCAGCCCUGUCUAAGCAGGUAGUGGUGAUACUGGUGAUUGAAAGACAGUUUCAUCAGUCUGUACCACCAUACUCCCCACUACUGUCCUCAGUCAGGUAAUGUCAUGGGAUUGAGCCAAAUUACCCCCACAAUUUUCUGACUGUCAUUUACAGGUGGAGAAGACUGCAGAUAAUCUUGGUAAGCUGAGAGGUGGAUGCGAAAGCGAGUAAGGGAAGCAACAAACUUAUUCCCAGUGGGCAACAAUACACCCCUAAGCUUUUGUAGCUUUUCAGGGUUCCCUAGAAUGACAGCAGAAAACAUUGCCUUCAUGCUGACUGGAAAACAACUGCCACUCCACCCCACCCACACCGAACCUUUAAAUUUUGUGUGAAAGUUUUUUGGCUCCAUCUUAAUUAAUGCUGUCUGUAAGUGCUUGACAAUCCACAAACAAACAUUUGUGGUCUUAAGCAGGCAACAAAAAUGGAAGUGUUAUCAACUUCCUUGCUGGUGGACUGAAUUCAAUUCAUUGGUUACAGGUAAUUCUUCUUUCUUUCCUUCAUUCUUCUUUUAGAUGGCAUGGGAUCCAGGGAACUGCAAACAAGUAUUUUAAUGGGUUCUGCCUCAACCAUGGAUGAUGAAUCCUCUAACAAGGUGCUGGAUCUCCCAAUGAAGACCUGGGUGAGCAGACAGAGUUCUCCAACACCAAAACUGGAGACUUUGGUAUUCUGGGAGGGACCUCCCCAGGCCUGUUUCCAGAGGGCACCCUGGAAAAGGUGGGUUCCUGACCCACCUUUGGCAGAGGAGCUCUUGGCCAGAAAAGAGUGAGCUGGAGAUGGUGACCUUUGAAAAGUUGAUGGGCAAAGAAUAUCUGGUGUCGAGGAGGAAGGAAUUCAUCACUAGGCUGGAGGGGUGUUGCACUUGAAAUUUUGUGUUGCUUUGAUGCAUUGGAAUGGAGUCACCUGGGGACUCUGACCUAGUGUCAUUGCAUAAAGGAAGAUCAGAGACAUGAAUAAAGCAUCAGUCAUUAGUGAGUUAAUUUAGGAGGAUCCUUACUCCUUUGACCUUUCAUGUAUCACUGGGGACUGGUUAAAUGACUAAUCUGUGAUAGCGUUGUUCCAGAGGUUUCCAGACAGGAAUUUUGUGGAGCAUCAGACCUGGAUCAAGUGAAGCAGCCAUUUGUAAAGACUCUAUGACCUUUCAACAAUAUCUGUUACUUGACUCGUAAUCCAUGCUGCUUUGUUAGUGUUGGAGACCCACAACACAUUAGCGAUAUGCAAAGUUCACAAGGCCUGUGCUUUUCAGGGGCAGGGAGAACUCAGUGGGCCCUUACAGCCCUGGUUACAUUUCUCAGAACCUAAAUCCUCCAAUUUCUUGCAGGGAGUAAUGAGGGUGCCUAUUCUCACCAUUAUAUGCUAUGAACCUUGCAGAUAACAAGGUUUCCUAAAGAAAUUGAAAUAAUGUUGUUGUUGUUUAGUCGUGUCCGACUCUUCGUGACCCCAUGGACCAGAGCACGCCAGGCACUCCUGUCUUCCACUGCCUCCCGCAGUUUGGUCAGACUCAUGUUUGUAGCUUCGAGAACACUGUCCAACCAUCUCAUCCUCUGUCGUCCCCUUCUCCUUGUGCCCUCAAUCUUUCCCAACAUCAGGGUCUUUUCCAGGGAGUCUUCUCUUCUCAUGAGGUGGCCAGAGUAUUGGAGCCUCAGCUUCACAAUCUGUCCUUCCAGUGAGCACUCAGGGCUAAUUUCCUUAAGAAUGGAUGCAUUUGAUCUUCUUGCAGUUCAUGGGACUCUCAAGAGUCUCCUCCAGCAUCAUAAUUCAAAAGCAUCAAUUCUUCGGCGAUCAGCCUUCUUUAUGGUCCAGCUCUCACUUCCAUACAUCACUACUGGGAAAACCAUAGCUUUUACUAUACGGACCUUUGUUGGCAAGGUGAAGUCUCUACUUUUUAGGAAACCAUCCUACCAAAGUUCAAAGUACCAAACUGGUCCAGGAGUUUUUGUGCUAGGUGGUUCUACCCUUGCUAUAAAAAACUGGAAAAGUCAUCUUUAUUUUUAGCUGCUCCACCCCUUUCUGGAAGCACUCACUGCAAUGACAAACGAAGUGAGAGAGUGAGCUAUAUAUUUUUAAAAAAACUGUUAGGGAAAAUAACAAUUGGGAAAGAAGUAAGGAACUCUGAUAGUCUAACUCAACAGCUUAUGCCCCGCUCUCACUGCUAAAAAUUAUGUCCGCUUCAACACCCUGCCCCCAAAUCCCUAUGACUGGAAUGCUCUGGGGAAAUAAUUCACUAUGGUUAAAGUUAUAUGUGCCUAUCAAAAUGAAAGAUCCCCUCUGAAAACCUCAACAUGUCUUCUUUCUCCGUGGCUCCCAGCUUGAAUUCUGGGCAUUUCCCCAGUUAUCUUGCUUUUGUUUCUCUGAAAAUAAAGGGGGGGGGGCUGUGUACUUAGCUUUAUGGAAAAACCAAGGAAACAGAAGUGGUCAGGAGGCCGGGCACUCCCUGACUUGCCUUGACAUGCCUUGUUAACAGCAGAAUCUGACUUGGUAAUGUGAACGACUGCCUCAGAUCAACCCUAUUCACUUUGUUAUUUGGGGUUCAUGCUGCUGAUGCAGACCCCCUAGUAGCUUAAUAAUGGAGCAAGACUACACACCACACUUCAGUUGUGUUCAACAUUAGCCUGAAUAUACCUUCUAUAUUGCAAAGCUCUGGUGGGGGUGGGGAGAGAGAGGAAACAGCAGGGGGAGGGCUGAAGACCAGCUGCUUUCCAUCUGAUCCCACUCCCCAUGAUCCCACUCCCACGUGGGCUUUCCAUAAGCUAUUCAUGGGUCUGAUGGGGAAAAGGCAGCAGAAGGGGGCAUGGCAGUGGAAAUAUAUAGCUGAAGAAACUGGGUUAAGCACCCCUCUCCAUUACCUUUCUCAUUUGCAAUGCACUCAGUGGCGGAGCUUCUUGCUCUGGCACCAGGGGAUGGAGAGCAGUGGGGGUGUGGUGCACAUCCUGGGCAUGGCACGCCACCUACAGGGGUGUGGCAUGCAUCUUGGGGCGUGACGCGCCACCUGCAGAGGCAUGGUGUGCCUCCCGGGGGCGUGGCGCAUUUCCUGGGGGGAGUGACUCACCACCUGGGGUGUGUGGUGCCUAGUGUGGGCAGGGGGCAGCCGCAAUGGCACCCUACCGGGGUUGUGCUGCGGGUGGUGGUGCACUCCCCUCGCCCCCUCUUCCUCCACCAGUGAAUGCACUUACUCCUCAGAGCUACAGCAAAAUGUGCAGUUUCACCCAGGUAUAUAGGAAGGCUUGCAAAAAAGAAAGAAGAAGGAUUUGUUUCAAUUGAUGCAUCCUGCCAAGAGAGAGAAAAAAUACUUGUGUUGAGGUGCAGAGGAUUUUUCUGGACUGUAGACAUCUAAAUUGGGCAGAACUAUCUCCUAGCAGGGAAUGAGUCAAAAAGGUUUCUAUUGCGAAGCACCCAUUUCCUCAUCUUCCAUGAAAUCUCAAACAGUGAAUAUAAAAUAAACACUGGCAAGGUUUUUUUAUUAUUAUUAUUCAAUAUAAUAAAAGGGAAGGUUGGCCAAGGAAGGCAGUAGUCCAGGCAAGUCCACAGGGCAAGUCUCAACUGUGUAUAUGUGUGUGAGAAUUUGUAGUCAUCUGGGAGCUGCCAAAAGAACUGCCAAACCCUCUCUGGUUCCUGCUGCCUGCUCAAGUCUUUUCUUUAGAGCUUAUAGUGCAGCCAAUCCCUAUGGUUAGACUGGAAAGGGGUUGUGAGGAAAGUAGAAAUGAUAUGAGGAAUACUAGAGAGGCAUGAGCUCCUCAAGCUCAAUUUGUGCUGGGUCCAGGAAUUAUUAGCAAAACUGGAAAUGCUUGGAACUCAAAAAGUUCUAAAUUGUCUUGUAAUUGUGAUGAAAUUUACCAGAUACCCUUGGAAAAUGUUGUUUCUCAGGGCUCCCAGUAGAUAUCAACACAACACUGUUUGGUAGACUGGAGAGAAGGUGAACAUUAAUUAAUUAAUUUUUAUAUCACUAUAUGCCCAAGUGCCAAAACAGCAAGGUAAGCCAGUGAGUCAGUGGGAAUGGGAGUGAGAUACAAGUUCUUCCUUGGCUCAGGUUAAAAUCUGGGCUAGAAAAUAGCACACAGCCAUAGGACUUGCCCUCCUAUUGAAGAUGAAAUUAUAAGACUCCAGAGUUCUUAUUCCAAGUUCAACUUUUGGGUGGCAACUUGAAAAAAAAAGUCUGUAAAAAUAUCUAAAACAUGACUUCUGUUCAUAGCUUGGAAUAAAUAAUGUUUUCUGCCACCAACAAGACACUAAAUGUUCAUUUUAUAUUUUCUAAAUUUGUAAUUAACAUGUCACAUCUGCAUUGGCUCAGUCCUCUUGCCCAUGGAGGCAUAUACAGAAAAAAUGUCAUUGUCAAUGUCAUUUUAGGAUGAUUUGUUAAAAUGCCCUAAAAGUACCCCAACUAUUUUUUAAAAAAAUAAUUCAUUUACAUCCUGCCCAGCAUCUCAGAGGUGUACAAUCAAAACAGUAAAAUGAUUUUUUUAAAAAGCAAAUCUCAAAACUCACAGCAUCCAAAAUAUGUAGGAUCUAAAUUGGGAACUAUUUUUAUUACUGUAAAGACUUCAGAGCAGCCAAGAACUUUAGUCACUUGGGCAUUUCUAUACUGUACUGUGAUUGUUAUCUGAACAUGCCUUACCCAAAGUACACCAUUGUAAACAAUGGCCUUAAGUUACUCAUGAGUUUAUUAAGCCCAUUGAUUCUAAUAGGCUACUCUGAGAAUGACUUAGUUGGACACCACCCCAUAUCCUUAAAUGGUAUUAUUCAUUAUUCCUGCUGGGUUUCCUGUAGUUUAUUUUGAGGAAAACCAAGGCAGAGUGGUACAACAUCAAUAUAACUUUGUAAGGCAAAUAUGUUCUGUUUCUGAAACUGGCACUCUCAUGAAGAAGAAGAAGAAGAAGAAGAAGAAGAAGAAGAAGAAGAAGAGUUUGGAUUUGAUAUCUCGCUUUAUCACUACCCAAAGGAGUCUCAAAGUGGCUAACAUUCUCCUUUCCUCCCCCACAACAAACACUUUGUGAGGUGAGUGGGGCUGAGAGACUUCAAAGAAGUGUGCCUAGCCCAAGGUCACCCAGCAGCUGCAUGUGGAGGAGCGGAGACGCGAACCCGGUUCACCAGAUUACGAGUCUACCGCUCUUAACCACUACACCACACUGGCUCUCAUGAAUUCUUACAGAAAAAAGGGAAACUAGUUUGAAGAUUUCAACCUGUAUCACUUUCAGAUAAAUCAGCAGUCCCUCUGUGGUGCUUUGAAAAUAGUUAGGAUGGUUGCAGUAAAUGACUUCCAGGCUUGAAAAAUAUAUAACUCCCCAAUCUGAGUUCCUGUUCUGUUGAAUCAGCUAGUAUGCCACUGUGCAUGGCACCUGUUUGCUAGACCAAUUACUUGGCAUGGAAUGGCUGUAGAGCCAAAUGAAAUGUAUCUAUAGGCUCAUAAGUCAGGCUGCUGAUAAAGAAUAUUAUUGUCUAUGAAAGUUUUUACUAUUGUAAACCUGAUGAAAUUCAAGAUGCUAAGAUGCUUAUUGCUACUAAAACAAAGAUUGCUGCUGACUUUUCAAGAACUAUAUUAAGGGGAUACACUAAACAUAGGGCCCUUAUAUUUAGGACUGUAAUAAUUCAGCCCCCAUGUGAUUCAGUUCUGUCCUUUCUACUCUUUCGUGUUAAGUUUGGUGGGUACCAGUUAUGAGCCGGUGUGGUGUAGUGGUUAAGAGCAGCAGUCUCGUAAUCUGGUGAACCGGGUUCGCGUCUCUGCUCCUCCACAUGCAGCUGCUGGGUGACCUUGGGCCAGUCACACUUCUUUGAAGUCUCUCAGCCCCACUCACCUCACAGAGUGUUUGUUGGGGAGGAGGAAGGGAAAGGAGAAUGUUAGGCGUUUUGAGACUCCUUUGGGUAGUGAUAAAGCGGGAUAUCAAAUCUAAACUCCUCCUCCUCCUCCUCUUCUUCUUCUUCUUCAUAUACUGAAACUUGGUUACAUUGGUGAGCUAUUACUAUAUCCAAGGCAUCACACUAUGUUCCAUGUAUGCUGAACAAGGAAGAUGUAAACUUUCCUUUUGAAUGUCAGUCUGGCUUCCAAAUAAUCCUCUGUUAUAAACUCUCCUGAUUUUUCCACUAAACUUUGUUUAUAACAAACAAAUGGUACCAACAAUAAAACAUUGUUGUGUGCAGUGCUCCUGUUCAGGAUACUCCAUUCCAUUCCCCACCCAGCCACUUUUACAUUCCCAUCCACAGCUAUAGUCAGUCAGCAUUUUGUCACCACUAAGCUCCCUCUGUCUUCACUAGGCUGUUCCGGGUUUUUCCCUACAUCCAAAGUGUGUGUAUGACUUGGGGAAACUUGAAGGUUUAUAAAAUAUUAUUAUAAUAUAUAUAUAUAUAUAUGUGUGUGUGUGUGUGUGUGUGUGUGUGUAUAGUCCAAAGUUAGUUUAUAUAUAGAUAUAUAUAACAUUUUGCAAACCUUCACAUUUCCUGAAGUCUUCUGAUACCUUGUUCUUUUGCAUAGACGGUGCUGCUUUGGCUAUAUAAGGAUCUACACUUGGAGAAUUGUGUUCACCAUUAGUAUAUAUGAUCUUUCAUUUCUUAUUGUAUGUUAUGAUGAAUGUGUACUGAAUGAAGACAAUCACAGAGCUUUUUUAAUGUUUGAAAGGUCAGGUAUGCAUCUGUCACUGAUGGAAGUCACUUAAUCAUAUUUAAGUGGUCAAUGGUCACUGCUAUAAGUUCAGAAGUGGAGGGAAAUGGCAGACAUUAACAUAAUUUCCCCAGGACUGUCAGGAUUCACUUGUGAAAGUCAACAUUAAAAAAAGUUUCACAUUCUCUAUAACAUAUAUAUAAACUUUGUUGCUCCAAAAAUGUUCAUUUGAUUUCUUGAAAAUUUCAAAUAAAAUGUAUGUAUGGCAGAAGCUGGAAGGUAUAUGAUAUAUAUCACAUUUUGUUCAACUCCCUUAAAAAUGUAAUCACCUUUAAUUCCGUUCAUGAAAAGUUUGACUUCAGAGGAUCACCAGACAUCCAAGAAUAACAAUUCUACCUGGUCUUAUAAUGUGCUGUGAUUAUUUGGCUUUGCUUAUAUGUCUCAGGAAACCUAGGCUAUAAGAUUCAUAAUUGUCCUUUGAGAUAUCCUAUUCCCUUUUGCUCUGUCUGGAUUAGGUUUUUAAAAUAUACAAAUUAAUUUGGUGUCUGAGUCUUUUUCUAUUCAUUGAUGCUGCCCCUUUAACCAACACACACACACUCACUCACUCAUCUGUCUUCAGGAUAAAGCUGUUCUCAUCAACAUGCAGGGAGCCUGCUUGUCUGUCACAUCGCCCACAUCUUCUCAAUCACUCCCUUUCAUUUAUCCUUUUAUGCCCCUAUUUUAACUUAUGCUGCUGCUGAUACUUGGUGACAGGAGGGAUCCAGCUGAGCAUUAAUCCCUCUAUGCCAUAGAGUCUAUGUCUGCAUAAGACCAGUCCAACUUGAUCAGAAGAACAUAACAGCACAGCAGCUUUCUAACAGAAGGGAAGGCUGUUGUGAUGCAAGCAAAAGGAUAAACCUGUAACUGGAGCUAAUCAUGAGUGCAAGGUGUGUUUUUUAAAAAGAAAAUACUGACUUUCUAAUAGUCAAAUGGUAAUUUUUGACACUGAUAACGUUUGCACAUUUAAAUUCAUCUCUGUUCUCCUUGAGAAGCAUUUUAGAUGAAUAAGCUCUAUAAACUUAAGGCAACAAUACUACUAUUGGUUAUACAGCGAACACAGUGGCUGCAGGCACACCUGUUUCUCAGCGGUGUUUUCUACAACAGCAUGGGUAACAUAUAGGGAUGUCUGUGCUUUUUAUAGCAUCUGUGUACAUCUGUCAGGGAAGCCUAGCAUAAUCAGGGCUCCCAGGUACCUGAAUGCAGGUGUUUAAAGCACAUCUAUAUGUUUAUGUGAUGCAUGUGUAUUGUCCACUUUACUGUGGACAACACAGGUAGGACACAUCUGUGAACCUAAUAAUAAUGAUAAUGACAACAACAAUUUACAACAUGGAAGUUGGUAGCAGCUGCAUUCACUAAAACCCCAACUGGCUUUUGAGGUAAGCCAGAAGGGGCUCCCAAAUAUUUACUUCUCCAUAUCUGAGCAAACAAAAACUGACCCUACUCCUUAAAGGAAAUGCCCUGGCAAGUAAUCUGGGAUGUUGCGAACAUACUUCUUGUUGUGUCUUAAAGAUAACAUUGAUAAUGGAGGGGUGUGUGUGUGAAAUUAACACAUCAAUUGCAUCCUAUAUUGAGUAGUGCAGACAGAAACACGUAAAAGGAGCGACUGGGCUGAUUUUGAACAUGUGUAAGUAUUGCAUCCAGGAGUCUGUCUAUCAGUCCAUAAUUGGACAAUUACAAGUCUCUGCUCAUGCUACUGGCUGGCUGCCACAUCCUUUAUUGGUGGCUGCCCUAUGAUGGUGAGCGGUAGAAUGCCUUUGUCUCUCCAGCUGUCCUUCAAAGAUGCACCCUUGGGAUAACACAAAAUAACAACAACAACAACAACAAGAACAAUUUAUUUAUACCCCGCCCUUCUGGCUGGGCUUCCCCAGCCACUCUGGGUGGCUUCUAACAAAAUAUUAAAAUACAGUAAUGCAUCAAACAUUAAAAACUUCCCUAUACAGGGCUGCCUUCAGAUGUCUUCUAAAAGUCUGGUAGUUGUUCUCUUUGACAUCUGGUGGGAGGGCGUUCCACAGAGAGGGUGCCACUACCGAGAAGGCCCUCUGUCUGGUUCCCUGUAGCUUAGCUUCUCACAGUGAGGGAACCGCCAGAAGGCCCUCGGCACUGGACCUCAGUGUCUGGGUAGAACGAUGGGGAUGGAGACGCUCCUUCAGAUAUACUGGACCAAGGCCGUUUAGGGCUUUCAAGGUCAGCACCAACACUUUGAAUUGUGCUCGGAAACGUACUGGGAGCCAAUGUAGGUCUUUCAAGAUCGGUGUUAUGUGGUCUCGGCGGCCACUCCCAGUCACCAGUCUAGCUGCUGCAUUCUGGAUUAGUUGUAGUUUCCGGGUCACCUUCAAAGGUAGCCCCACAUAGAGCGCAUUGCAGUAGUCCAAGCGAGAGAUGACCAGAGCAUGCACAACCAUGUCACUUUGAAUGGAUUACGGGUGCAACACAUGCAUCUUCAUAACAGAAGACAGACAGCUGCCUGAAUAAGAAUCUAGAUCUCCUUCUUACCUCCUGCACACGGGAAUCCCCACCUCCACCCCCAUGCAUCCUUAGGGCCUGAGUAGGACAAAGUAAUUUGGAUACAGCCCUUAGUGUUUAAGAUGCUGUUGUAAAUGUGAGGGUGCAGUCACACAUGGUAUUGUGGGGUGACUCAGGAUAUUGCUGAAAUAUGUCAGCAUGAAGUGAUCCUGGAUCCAUUAAGAUGUUGAGUGACAACAUCUUAAGUCCAUGGCCUAGGAAGAAAACUGCCUUUGCAUUGCAACUACACAUGAAGGAUAAAUCCACAUUUCAGAGCCCCAACCUUUCUGCCCUUUCUAUUUUUUAAAAAAUAGAAAAGCCACUUUAGGAGUUAGCAACUGACAAGACCGUAUGUGAUGAUCAGACAACGUUUGUAAGUUUUCAGGAAGUUCUGUGAAAAUCAGUAUUAGAAAUAUUGUAUAAAAAUAAGGUAGAUUAUGAUGUUAUUAUAGUGCAAUAUUAGUUAGAGAAUGUGUAAGAAGUGAUUAAGAUGGAGAAUUAUCAGAUGAGUUGAUGGAAGUCCAAAAGAUGAUGUUGGUGAUAAAUUGGAUGUUAUAUUUUGUAUAAUGCUAUAUUUGAAAUAUAUAUAUAUAUAUAUAUAUAUAUAUAUAUAUAUAUAUAUGCAAUUGACGAGACCAAAGUGGUCCUCUGGGGAGUUUCAAAUACAAAGGUUUCCUCCCUCCACUCUUUAUCCACACUUCAUUUCUUACUCCAGAGCUGAUUUCAACACUUUGCAUUUAACCUGCUAUUUGCCCUUAGACUCUUGAACAGGGUGCCAGGGAUUCAACUAGGGUCUUAAAACCAUUUCACAUAUUAUGAGCUUCAUGUAAAGCUGUUCAGUCUCCUGUAAGAAUGGUCCUUAAUAUAAAGGUUUUCUCUUUCCUCUGUUGAUGUGGUUGAGUUAAGCAUGUAUAUCUCUCCCUGUCCCUCCAAGGUAUUCCAUAUAACCAUGGCAGGCAUUCAAUCCAUGUGUAGACCAUUGGUGCUGCUAUCAUCGUUUUAUAAAGCAACUAAGAUUUGCUCUGAUACAUCCGCAUUGUAUUUGUCCUGUAUAUUCAGCAGUAUCUGGUUACAACAUUUCAUGUUAUUCAUGAUAGUUAGUUACAUAGUGUAAUGCACUAAUUGUCAGGAUAGAGUGUCUCACUGAUACUCCUCCACUGUUGUCCAAUUGCUACUUGUCAUUUGGCUUUACUGGGGCUGCAGAUGUUGCGCUUCUUGUUCAAGUUACAAUAAUUCUGCACAAAGCUGAAAAGAGUAUUGACAAAGCUCACCUCAGCAGUGAGUUUGAAGCCACUCUACAGGGAAGGGCCUUCUCCAGACUCAGUUGGGAAGCAUGGAGAAUGUCAUGCCAAUGUCAAGCACGCACGCACACACCUCGCAACCUUUGAGAUGCUCAACAUCCAAAAAUUGUGAGCAAACCUGCAAAGAGCAAUGGUGUGCCUCUAUGUGAAAUUGAUACAAUUCUUCCUGUAGCUUUGCACGACUCAGGAGGAACCCCAUAACAUCGGAGGUGAACUUUGCAACUUUGAGGUCAUUGCCUUAAUGAUACAUUUUAAGGAAAGGUGGGAUACAAAUGUUUUUAAUAAAUACAUCAAUAAAUUUCACCUUUAGACUGAAGUGUCUUCACAGGCUCUGCUGCAGUCUGAUCAGUUUUAUGAUCUAUCCAAAAAUGAUUUUGACCUCUCUCAUUCCUUUCCCCCCCUUUAGUGGAUUGUGGAAAAGAGUGAUUAAUUUUUGAAGAAAUAGAGGAAAUGAAGGAGGCAAAAAGAAAAAGCUGCAGUUAGUAAAAAUCAAUAUAUUACAUUGCAAAAACAUGGAAGUGGUUUUGCUUUCAAUGUCUCACGGCUGAAGUGGGCAACGGCAGGAUCGCCGUAGCGGAUGACACUGCCAUCAUGUUACUGGCAAAAGCUCAAGAGGACUCUCUGAACCAAACGGCCUUGAGGAAUGUUGAGAUUUGCUGACAGGAAGUUCGAAUAGACCAAAACAAAUUGUGAUUGACAGGAAAAGGGGAAGAAACAGAACACAAUCUCCAGGGAAAGCAGACAGGGUAGUAACAUAAAUGCACAGCUAUUUUUGAAUGAUCUGUGCAGAACAUGCACAUAUGGUGUAGGAAUACAUGCCUUUCUCCUUGCAAGCCAUGGAAACUUUCCACUGUAUCUACUCCUCUAGAUACAGCAUUCCUUCACUUAGGAACCUCUGGUCUUGCACUCAUGGUGCAAAUCAUGCUCAAAAGCUAACAGGCAGGCUCUACCAUCAUUUCCCCUUCCCUCUUCUUUUUCUUUUAAAAUGCGACACCUUACAGAACUAAACUAGAGUGAUUGCCUUUACAAAGUAAUUUUUUGGGGGGGUGGAAUGAAUGAAUUUUCUUUCAUUCUCCUUGCAAUCUUAAAUUUGGUUCACAUUUCAUCAGCAAUUUUCAUUUAAAAAAACAACCCUACCCAAAACAUUAUUCUAAUAUAUGCAAAUUUGCAAGCAAUUUCCUGCCAUAUAAUUCAUUUUUGUAUGUUAUUUUCACUAAUGCAUACAUUUUCAUGAACACCUCCCCCUGAUUUAUGCAUUUUUGUGCACAUUGGUUUGAGAAAUGCAUCACAAAAUCUGGAUAAGUGCAUAUUUCAAUGGAUAAUUCUGUUUCAGCUUGGAUAUUAGUUAAAAAAAAAGAGAAUCAGGUAGCUUCUCAUUAAAAUGCAAACAAAAUUCUGUUUUGUUAAUUCUGUUUCAGCUUGGAUAUUAGUUAAAAAAAAGAGAAUCAGGUAGCUUCUCAUUAAAAUGCAAACAAAAUUUAAUUUCUUCUCCAUCUCUAGUUAUAGCUCAGAUCUUUUUAUCUAAAAAACUGUCUUACAGUAUCUUUAACUUUUGGGGGGGUAACUCUCUUUGGUUCUGAUCUUUUCAUCUGUGGUCUCAAAGCUAGCUGCAAUGGAACAGAUACAAUUGUGAGAAAGAACCAUCCAAAGGAAGCAUUAGAUCAACAGGACAGUGAAGAAAACAAGGAACAAAUGCAUGAAUGGAAGAAAUCAAAAUAGAAGCCCUUAUUCCUUGAUGUGAUGCUUUAUCAGGCAUGGCCAAACUUGGCCCUCCAGCUGUUUUGGAACUACAACUCCCAUCAUCCUUGGCUAACAGGACCAGUGGUCAGGGAUGAUGGGAAUUGUAGUCCCCAAACAGCUGGAGGGCCAAGUUUGGCCAUGCCUGCUUUAAAUGAAGGAAAAUACUUGAAUAGGGAUGUUAUUCUGUCAAUGAACACAAUAGGGCAGGGAUAGCAAACAUGUUGCUUUCCAGAUGUUGUUGGAUUCAAACUCCCACCAUCACCGACCUUGGCCAUGCACGCUGGGGCUGAUGGGAACUGGAGUCCAACAUCUGGAGGGCACCAUGUUGGCUGCUUCCAGUUCAUGGAACUGGGGUGCCUGAUGCAUAAGGCCGGAGGGGAAGAAUGAAUGGAAGAGGAAUGUCCUGGUUAAGGCAGCAAGAAAAGUGGCGGAGUUGAGUAAAGUUGGGCAAGUAAGGUUGGAAAAUGGAGCAAGGCUGGGCAAGUAAUUCCCCCUGAACAAUUGGCCACAGUUGAUGCUACUAACUAGAUGAGAGUGCAAUGAUAGUAAAGGAAGAAAACUGAGAAGAGAUGAAGCAAAGUGGAAGCCGAUUCUACUAUGAAAAGGAAAAAGAGAAAGUUAAUGUUUGUAAAACUUAUUGUUCUAUACUUCAAUCUGCAGUCAUGAAGGUGGGGACCUAUAAGAUAAUACACUGAGGUUGCAACCCUAUACGUGGCUGAAAGCCCCACUGAGCUCAAUGGGGCUGACUUCUGAGUAGGCAUGUCUAGGAUUGCAUUGCUAAUGUAUUACUAAAAAGAAAAGACAUUUUCCAUUACAUCACUGUCCUCAGCCAGUCUAUCAUUUCAGAGGGCCCAAGCAAAAGCAAAUGAUAAUCUGCAUAAAAUCAAAAUGCAGGUUAUAGAUAAAAAAAGUUAAAUCUAUGGAGCUCUCCUCAGACAGCCUGUCAUGCUUCCUUGCUAUAUUUCCAUCACUGCCGACAACAUAAUGCUGCCACACCAUUCAUGUUCCAAGGAACACCUCAAGUCAGGUAGACACAUAGCAGGUUAAUUAGGGGGCUUGGUAAAUUGAAUCCGCGGACUGUAAUUACCGGCACUCAAGACCUGCAAUUUCUGUUUUAAUUAAAAUAAACAGUGUGAAGAAGCUGACAUCACAGCAGAGUAACCAGCGUGUAAGUCACAGUUAAUUAUAUUGAACUAUGACCUCCACUGUUGGGGAAGGAGGUGCUGGCGGGGGCUUGAUUUGAAUACACAAGUACUGGACCUGAUCGGUCACCUCAGCCGAAUGGAUGCACACCACAAAUUCGCUCUUUGGGAGUGGGCAAAUCCAUUGCUAAGAAUCUUGCAUAAAUGAAAUCUAUCAGAGCUGGUUUUUGCUUUAACUAAAAAUUAGGUAGGAUUUUGCUGCCAUCAUUUCAGAGUCCUGGUCUUUUCUUCUAUUCAUUCCCCCACCUCUGAACAACUAGGGGCAGCUAGCUCCACCAAUUGAUUAGGUGGCGUACUAGACGUAUCUCAGAAAAUGUCCACAGGUUCCAGCAGGACUAAAUCAGGUAAAGCCUGCACUCUGCCUUCAUUGACUUGAAGAUAAAAUAUGAAAAUAUAACAAGAUCUGCUGCAGAAAAUAUGCAAGAUCAUGAACAAAGUCAUGCAUAGCUGGGGCGGAUUUAUGGCAGUGUGUGCUGUCGCACUGGGCUUGCAGUCAAGGAGGGUGCCUUCUCAAAGCCCAGUAAGUGCUUGCCCAAUUUCAAGAAUGUGGCAUGAGGGCUCUGACAGGGUCCUAGAGUCCUCCUACUUCUUUUCCAAAACUGGGCAAGUGUUUACCAGGCUUUGGGAAGAAGGUAGGAGGGUUCUAGGACCCUGGCAGAGCCUUGUGCCUCCUUCUCAAAGUCUGGCUUAAACCAGUACCACAAGGGCUGGAGGGAGGAAGUCAGAUGGCCUAGCACAGGGCAGCAUGUUAUCAAGGUCUGCUCCUGUGCAUAGGCUCUAACAUGAACCACACCCAUACUACAGAAUCAUUAAUAUUCACUUAACCUCAGCAAAGGAUGGUUUUAGGAUGAAAUAUUGUACAGAGGAAAUUUCAGAGAAAUAGAACUGGGUGACCAUCCUGUACCUUGUGACAUAACACUGAUAAACUGCCAGGAAUUCAAAGCACAGUCAUACAAUACUUUCUGGAAUCAAUCCCAUAAAUAUGCCUGAAGCCACAGUCCAGGAGAAUAGCAUGGACAACAGUAUGCUGAAGAUUCACCUAUUCUGCCAAAUUUAUACUGUUCUGUUCCAUUUGGGACCAUUUCACUUGUUUUAUAUUUAUAGUGGCUUAUCUGUUCUUAUAACCGUAUGCUGUUAUAACUUGCUCUGUGAACUUAUGGUGAUGGGCAGAAAAGAAAUCUUAGAGUUCAAUCAACCGAAACCUGCUGAGAGAUCCAGGAGCCUCAACAAGAUCACACUUUCCCUGCCCGUCACCCAAAGAAGGUCAUCUAUCUAAGACUGAUUCUGUCUCUCAACUGGGCCUGAACCCAGACUGGAAUGGAUCAAGAGGAUUCUAAUUAUCUUCAAGCCAACACAAAUAAAAGCCUCCAGCAGACCUUCCCUGCUUAACAUGGGGAGGGACAGAGACAGAACAGGUGGGGUGACAUGUGUGGAGAUGCUGAGGGGUGGGGUGGGGGCUGCAUAUGCCCUCCUGCCCCCACCCCUGGUUCUACAGCUCCCAUGUUUAGAUGAAUGUCUGAAUGUAGCAUAUAUAAUACAAUUCCAAGAUGGGUCUUCUCUAAGCUGGUUAUUCUACAAAAUGAAUAGGAAUCAUUAGAUUCAUUUCCCUAUAAACUCAAGCACUUAAGAUAAAAGAGAAUCCACAUCAAACCAAUUCUCCCAGAUCAAUUUCCACAGCUGUGGUAUCUCCACAGUUUGAUCUUUGGUCUGUGUUCAUGCUCAGAAUAAAAUUGCAUCACAUUUGGGCAUUAAAUGAAUGCUGUCCAUUAAAAAAAGAACACCUCCUAAAACUUGCUUUAUAAAUUCAUUUGACUCCAGCAUGCCCAUUAGCCACCGUGGCAAGUUCAAAGUUUUGUUGACAUUCAAAGCCCUAAACAACUUGGGACCAGGAUUUCUAACAGUCUGCCUCUAUUGGUGCAGUGAAGCUAGUUGGUAGAAUCUUCCAAGGAGACCAUGCUGGUUGACCAACAAAUUGUCACUUAUAGAUGAAAUGGAAGCAGACCUUGUUGGUGAUAGCACCCACCUUCUGAAAUAACCUCCUCCAGAUUAUUUGCGAAGCAGAGGCAAUGGCGAUCUUUAAAUGUUUCUUUGAAAUUUAUAUGUGCAAUCAAAUCUUCCUGGACUCUGACUCUUCAUUUUUUUAGUUCCUUGUUCUGCUUGGCUUUAUAUAGUUCUGCUUUGUUUUUAUCUACCUUUUAGGAAAUUUUGUUUUGUAUAAUCAUUGCUUUUAUGUAAACUGGUACAAACACACACACACACACACACACACACACACAUUUCAUAAAUAAACAAGAAAUAGACAAAUUAGGGACAGAUUGGGUAGGGCCAGACUGCUCAGCAUGAACAGCCCUAUGCCUUCUACUCACAGAAGGUUUCCUGUUCAGGACUAUAAUCUCUUCCAAAAUAUAUUUUCUUAUGGGAACCUCAAAAGAACACUGCCAGCCUAGGCAGCAUUAAUGCCCUACAUCCAUCCUGCAUUUUGCACUCCACCCAGGCUUCUCUUCCAGCCACUCCCUUCACCCACUUCCAAAUUCACAUCAUCGUUGAUAGCAUCUGACAUGCUAGGAACAUCUUCUCAGUGAAUGCAUACUGGUCAUCUUUCUUUACAAAUGCUCAGCAGUUCAUAAUGGCGCUCUCCUAUAUAUUAUAAAUACCCAAGACUCCACUCAUAGCUGUGAAGCGCUCGGACAACGAACAGACAUUUAUUAUCUGUGCUCGCUCUUUUACAGAAUCACAACAGUCUACAGCAGCUACUGCUUCUGUUUCCAAAACAGCCUCCAAGUUUGAAAAAUAGUACAUCUGGAUAAAACAGCUACUGCGGAGACUGACAUGUCAAAAUCCAUACUGAUGUAAUGUUCUAGAAACUGCAAUGAAAUCAUGGAAACAGUUAACAGAAAAAUCACAAGUGGGGACUGCAUCAUAAUGUUUCAGGGACUAGGCCUGGGAGUAACUUCACCUGUCAAGGAUAUCUUCUUGCAUCAGCUAUCUAGAGCAAGUCAGAGGACUGACCUUGACACAUACCAAAAGCUUCAGGAAUAGGUGGGUUUGAAAGUUGUUGUAUGGUAAGCCACCCCAAAGGCCAUUGGUUUGGAAAGACAAAGUAUACGUAAACAUUUCUGUUUCAGGUAACGGAUUGUCAUUGCCAUUUACCCUCAACUGCACAAGUUCUAAGUCUAUCACUAGUGAUCACUAGUGCCCCUCUGGAAAGGGUUUUUCUGAGGAACCCCAAUGAAUCUGAUUUAUUAGGAGGCAUCUGCCCUAUAUUAGCCAUAUGUCAAUGUGAAAACUUCCUCAUUUCAUCCAGACUGAACUUGCAGUGGAUUUGAAAAAGGCAUUACAGAUUUCAAUAUGGUCAAUAGGAUUUAUUUAUUUUUAAGUGCAAUUCCAUAUUUUUGGAGCUGCAAUGUUUGAUUUGAAUUCUUCUUUGAGUUCAGUAGCAGGCACUAAAUGCAAUUAAGGGUGGAGUGUACCAGAACCCUAUUCCUUGCAAAGCUUGGAAGGAAGGGUGCCUUCUCCCUAAAUUGCCAUAACGUUUCAUGGAGUUCCACUUAUUGCUUAUCCUAUUUUCUAGGAGAGAAUGGCUUUCCCAGAUUCUCCAGUGAAUCAUGACUCAGAUGGAAUUUCCAGUUAUCCUCACCAGACUUUAUUUACAGAGCAAUCCUAAGGCCCUGCUUUGAAUACUAUGUCAGGGCUAAGGUAGUUGUGAUUAUAUUUACACUCAGCAGCAAUAUUCAAGCCACAAGAACAGAACAGACACUGGCAGACAAUCUAACCCCUCUUUCUUCAGAUACCAUUUUGCCCAGCCAACAUAUCCAGUCCAUGUCUCCCCGAUGUUCACAUGGUUGUGUGUCACUGAUUAUAGUCCCAGGAAGCUAUAAUCCAAAACCUUCACACUCCAUUUUAAGAUACAUGACUGGUUUAUCAUGAGAGGAGCAACCAGGCAGGACAAUGAGCUGCAUUGCAAUGUGGACACCUAUCACCAUUGUGGGUAUUCUAGUAGCAAGACUAUGGGCAUGAUAGCCUUAGUGGUGGCUGUGGUGAACCCACUGCCUCCCUCUCACUGUAUGCCUCUCAUGAAGACCUCUAAGUUUAGCUACCACAUGGGAGAUGGAGCAAGCUUGUUUUCUCCUGCUCUGGAGGGUAGGCCCCAAACCAAUGGAUUCCAGUUACAAGAAAGAAGAUUAGGAAGAACUUUCUGACAGUAAGAGCUGUUUGACAGUGGAAUGGAUUCCCCUUCCUUGGAGGUUUGUAAGCAGAGGUUGGAUGGCCAUCUGUCAUGGAUGCUUUAGUUGAAAUUUUUGCAUCUUAGGGAGUUGAACCAGAUGACCCCCAAGGUCCAACUCUACAAUUGUAUGACUCUACGAUUCUAUUAUUUGGAUGCAUCUUCUGGAUUCUGACAGGUGCCCCUAGAACAAAACAAGUAAAUGACUAUGUACUUUCAGUACCUCUGUUGCUUUACUGGAUUGCCUUUUGGACUUUGUUCUGCCCCUCCUCAAUGGACAUAAGGAGUAGUUAGUGUGGGUGUGGGUGUGGGUGUGUAUGCAUGCCAAUGAGUGUGACCACAGCUGAUGGUGGUUGUGCCAUUCACACACCCAUUCACAAUCACACAUACAUGUACACAUACAAAUGCAUUUACAAACAAACGUGCACACAUACUCAUUUGGAGGACACAUGCAAACCCUCUCCUCUGAGUCCUCCUUCCUUCCUAUUGCAUAUCCUGGUCCUGGUCUCAUCCACAGCAUAUAUUUAAAGCAAGUGUAAUGCACAUUUAAAUCAAAUGGCUUCCCCCAAAGAAUCCUGGGAACAUCCGUCUGUUAAGGGUGAUGUGAAAUGAAGCUCUGUGAGAUGUAAACUACAGGUCCCAAGAUUAUUGGGGAGAGGGAGCCAUGUGCAUUAAAUGUGCCCUAAAUGUGCCAUAAAUACAUGGUGUGGAUGUGACCCUUAUUCUUCUCUGCAGAAGGAACACAAUGUAGAAUGGAAGGAUGCAGCACAAGGAUGGUCCUCCGCACAUGCCAUCCUUCCCUCUCACAGUUUCAUUAUCCCAGUAGCUGUUUAGCAUACCAUAGUGAGCAGCACGUGGGAAUGGCCCUCUUGAUGCACCCUCCUUCCCAUCACAACUCUAUCUCCCCCAGUGAGUGGGAGCAUGAAUUACAGCAGGAUGAUGGCAGGCAGGCUUGGAGGUGCAUGAGCUUGGCAUGGGAGGAGUCAGCAGUGGAGGAGUGGCUUGGCACCAGCACAGGAUGCAGUAAAGGCAUUUGAAGGUCUCCCGUCCCUGGAAUGCAGGUUGCCCAGGUGUGCUGGAAUCUUAAAACUUUAUUAUUGUGCCAAAUUGGUCCAUAUUGACAAUGUCAUAGACAAAUUUGGUCUCCCUGCUCUAGUUAUGAAUUACUUACAUCAAAUCACUUGCAACUUAUUCAUAAAAAGACCAAGAUACCAAGGAGGCAAAUAUGGCUGCAUUUGUGAGCAUUGCCAGUGCAGAACAGUACUUGGAGAACAUGUAUUUUACAUUCAAAUGAUAGUCUCUUUACAUGUGGGUGUAUGAUUUGAAUAAAUCCAUGGCCAUGAACAAGCAUUGUUCUUAUUAGGUGCAGUGCUAGUCUGUCAAUCUCCAUCAUUACAACAGAGGUAAACUUGUGACUUGCCUUUUUUUAUGGACACAUUGAAUGUCUCUUCCCCCUCCCCUCCCCUCCCCUGGAUAGGCUCAAUGGUCCCUAAAACCACAUGCCUGUGUGCAACUGAAAGGGGGUGACACCUGUGAUAAAAAAAUACUGCUGCCUUCCCCAGCACUUCUAAUACAGUGGUACCUCAGGUUACAUACACUUCAGGUUACAGACUCCGCUAACCCAGAAAUAGUGCUUCAGGUUAAGAACUUUGCUUCAGGAUGAGAACAGAAAUCGCGGGGCAGCAGCAGGAGGCCCCAUUAGCUAAAGUGGUGCUUCAGGUUAAGAACAGUUUCAGGUUAAGAAUGGACCUCUGGAACGAAUUAAGUACUUAACCCGAGGUAUCACUGUAUUGGAUACUUUUAGCAUACUCAGGAAUAAAAAGUUUUGUGCUGCUUCUGUAAGGAAUGUAUAUUUUUUGAGCAUUUUGCAAUUUCUAGUAUCUAUGCCACCUUUGCACCAAAAAGCACCCCCAACGUGGCUUACAAAGGUUAAUGCGCACAUACAAAAUUCAAGUAAAUGAAAGGGGGAAAUCCUAACAUUGUAAAAGCAAAGGGCAGUUCCCCUAAAAAUGUCACAGAGAGAGCAGAAGUAAAUCCUUUAGAAGCACCCUUGUAAGAUUUCUAAGCAAGAAAGUGAGGCAGAGCAGGUGGCAAUGCUUGCCCCGUGAUGGUCCACCACAGUGACUCUUCCCUGCAGCAACAGAAAGAGCAUGAGAAUUUGAGCAUCUCAUCAACAAAUAUCAUUUCACACAUGCAUAAAAUAUGUAAAAACCAAAUGCAUUUCAGAAGGAGGUUAUCUGGCUACAUAAAAUUGUCACCCUCAGCUCCUAGGUGGGUUGCACUCCCCAAUGAUGCUGUCUCUACUGGCUUCGUCUUCAUUAUUUCUUAGAUCUCUACCUUGCUGUAGAGAGACAAUUACUGAAUAUUUUGGAACUGGUGUUUUUGGGGAAAACCACCUUCUGAUGACUUGCUGCUUACCUGAGACCCUCUGUCUGACAACACACAUGACAGAUUGCCAUGUGUGCUAAACCAGAAGUCAGAUUUUCAUCCUGUGAACGAAAAUAACCCCCAAAAGGCAUUCAAAGGAGUCACGCUGCAGCUGACUUAUUUCCUUAGCAAGAAAGAGUGCCAAAAGGCAGGAUCACGCCCCAUUUUGCUGAGCAGACCAUUUCCUUUUCUCAUAUCCUCCUUUCCAUGAACUAGGUUGAGCAAGAGCCUUUGAUGUUAAAACAGCAUAUAAAGGAGUCCAUGUUGGCUCCAGGAGGGUUGGGAGGGGAAAAAAAUCAGUUUGGUUUACAUUUUAAGGUGAACCUGCCUAAUUUGCACUCCCUGAAGCAACAUAGAAACCAAACUACAGCUGUCCUUUGAAACUUGUACUUCUCCAAAUUUUGUAAUGCAUGCAAAUUAAUUUAUUAGAGGAAAGAGUACAUAAAAAUGCAAGUUAGUGAAAGCAACAUAUAAAAUGUAUUGCACUGGGGGAAUCUGAUUGCAAAAAAAUAGUAUUUUAGGCAAAAUGGCCUACACUAUAUAUGCAUACUGGGGGGAAAAACCCUAUUGAUUUUUUGUGAGUUUUUGUUUUAGACCACCUGACAGACAGUUAUGAAGGUGAUGUAGAAAUAUGGCGAACUGAGCUUCAGGUUGGAAAAACAAGAAACCGAGAGAAACUUGAUGAGAAGCAGAAAUUGACAGAUUCUCCCAUCCUUAUCCAAAACACCCUCGAAACAUCCCUAUGCAUUUCAACAACAAUGAUAAUUUGGAAUUGUUGGGUGGUAUUCUACUACAUUUUAAUCAGAGUAGAUCCACUGAAAUUAAUGAACAUGUCUUGGUUAUGUUUAUUAAUUUAAAUGGUCUACUUUGAAUAAAACUUAGUUGAAUACUACCCAUUGCUUUGAACUUUAGAAUUUUGUAAUUGGUACAAGGAGGAUACAAACAUUACCAUUUCAUAAGUCCUUUCACCAUUUUCAUGAGGAUUUGUUGUUGUUGUUUUGCAAAUUUCUGCAGAAAUGUAGAGAACCAAAUUCUAGACUGGAAAAAUGAGAUGUUGAGAGAACCAAAGUUGACAGAAUCAUAUGACCCUAUUCUCUCAUAAUACUGGAAUUUGCUCAUAUAUCAAAGCUGGAUGGUGAGAGAUUCAGGUCAGGCAAUAAGAGGUUCUUCCCAUAACCCAUAGUUAAAUUAUUGAAUUUGUUAUCACAAGAAGUAGAGGUGACUGCCAAUCUGAAUAAGUUUAAAAGGGGGCUAGGGCAGUUCUAUAUGAUGCAUUUAAAGCACAUGACUCUCCUCAAAGUAUCAUGGGAACUGAAGUCCGUCCCCCCCCCUCCCACAUAUCCAGCACUCUUAGCAAACCACAACUCCCAGGAUUGUUUUGUGGAAGCCAUGUGAUUUUAAUGUAUCAUGUACAUCUGCCCUUAGUCAAAUUCAUGGAGGAUAAGGCUGUUAAGAGUUACUAGCCUUGAUGGUAUCCAGGAUUUGGAUGAAACUGAAUAUCAGCUGCUGGGGGACAAGAGUAGAAGAAGGGUAUUGCCCUCAUGUUGAGAACAAGCAUCCCCAGCCAUUGCCCCUGCAGAUUGGGACUGAUUGGAGUUGUAGUUCAAUAACAUUUGGAGGGUCGCAGGCUCCCCAUCCCAAAUGUGCAUAAGCUGGACCAAUGGUCUGAUGCAAUAUAAAGCAGUUCCAUAUGUCCUACAUAAACAAAUUUGCCAUCCUCCUUGUGAGAUUGAAGAAAGGGCCUUCUCAGUUGCCUUAUUUUACUCUUGCCAAUAGGCCAAAACACUUCAAUUUAUUCAUUUAUUUUUGGAAAAGAAUAAAAGCUGUUUCAGAGGGAAUUCACAGUAUUUUCUCUCAGCUCAGAAACACGAGGGCACAAGCGAAUUAAUAAAUAUAAAACUUAUUUUAGCCUGCCUCUUCAGUGCUGAAAGUGGCUUUCAACAGAACAUAAAUAAUAAUAAUAAUUUUUAAAAUCAACAGAAAUAUAGAUAGAAUCAACAGCAGCGGUAAUGUAGGGCCACGGUGUCCACUCAGGAGUCACGGAGCUUUUGAUGGAAGAGGUAUAUUCCCCUCAAAGAAGACUAAGCAGCUUCAGAAUUCAGCAGAGAGGUUGCCCCACAGCCUUGGAGCAAUUUCCAUAAUUUGAGUUAAUCUAGGGGUGUCAGUUUUGAUGUUAAUUACAGAGCCUGUGUGAGGAUUAUUCAUUCCCCUCAGCAUGUGUGGAAUACUGAACACACACACACACACACACACACACACACACACACACACUCUCUCUCUCUCUCUCUCUCUCUCUCUCUCUCUCUGUGUGUGUGUGUGUAGGGGGGCUGCUUGUACAAUUUAUAGCCGCAAUGUGCUUUUUUAUUAUUAUUGUAAAAGUAUUGUUUUUCUUCCCCCGUUUUCCCAAUUUGGAAGUAAUUUCAGGCAGAGUGUUUGUGUGACAUCGAGCAGUUUGCAGUAAUUGGAUGGCUGCAGUCUGCCUCCCCUCAAAAAUUCUCAUAAACGUUCUCAGGAACUCAUAUAACGAGGUUGGCGUUCGCCUUUCCAGGCCCCGGAAUGAAGCUGAGCACUGCUGCUGCUGAAGAUUUGCUUUAGUUAAAGGAAAAGAACAAGACAGCUAUUAAAACUUAUGAGUGGUGGGAGGAACAGCUUUGAGUCUAAGUAACCUCUUAGCAAUGUCAGUAGAAGGAUCUGAUUGACGUUAGUGGGUGCUGAAGUGAGUCUUUAAGAGCGCUAUGCAUUAGGUUUGAAAGAUCUAGACUUCCUGGAACCACAGGUUCGAUUCCUGACAAGGUGACUGGGCUCUUCAUUGCACUAUGGCAGAUAAAUGGAUUUUUCUGCAUUUAGUGGUGUGUGUGUGUGUUGGGGAGGGGGGGAGUAUUUUGGUGACACCUAAAGCAAAUCACUGUUUUUUCAUCAAAUGGGAAACGGUUCUGUUGGUGUGAUCAUGGAAUUAUUCACAUGAAAAUAUAUACACAUUUCCCUUUCUUUGGAUUUGUCUGCAAACAGUGGGGUUUUGUCUAGUUGGCUGGAUUCUGCUCAGGUCUACAACUGUUUAUUAGACCAAAUAAUAUCAGUUUAGGAUCCUCUGGAAAUAAAGUUAUGCCCUGUGAAUUUGCUAUGACUUUUGAAGGACUAGACACUAGCUAUGAAGUUAUCCUGUUCUCUGCUUAUCCAAAACAUCCCACUGUGUGUGUUUAUACUGCAUGCAAACCUUUAGUUGGAUAUAUUGAGAAGACAACGGGGAAAGCAUGUGUGAUCCCUUCCCUGUCAACAUGCAUGUGGAUUUUUGAACAGGACAUCUGUAAGGUCUGAACUAUCCAUGGCAUUCAUGACUUGAUUAAUAAUCUUUUUAAGAAUAACUAAAUAAAUGAAUAAAAUCAAUCAACUCAAUCAUUCAAAUACAUACAUUCAUACAUACAUACAUAUAUAUAUACAUACCAGGCGUAGGGAGGGGAUUCCCAUCAGCAUGCAGGAUGGGGAAGUUAACUCUUCCCACCCUGGCUGUGAUCUCUGUGAAUUUCUCUAACCUUGCAUGCUAAUUAGCAUUGGGAAAAGAACUCUCAUUGGCACCAAUGAGAGCUUUUAUUCUAAUCUUGUUUUCUGCACAUGUAGCAGUGUGUGUAUGUGAUUUUACAGAGGCUAUGGCUGGAUAGAGAAGACAUACCAUCCACGUCCAGCAUGCUGUAUCUUGAUAACAAUCACCCCAUGCCUGGAAUUCAUUUGUUUAUUUAAACACACACACACAAACCUCAACAUGUUAUCCUUCACAGUUGGCUAUACCCAUCAUAGCCCAGGCCUUUGUUCCCUGGGGGCGGGGGUCACUGAAAUUGGGUCUGCAAUCUUGACUAAACUUCUUUAAAGCACUGUACAGAAAGACUGGCUAUAAAAGAAGAAAAUUCCUGUUAGGACUUUUACCAGACUAUACUUGGUUGUUCUAAUUCUUCACGUUUGUGCAACAUCAUGGGUGUGGGCUUAUGGGCUUUGGGCUAAGGCAGUAGAGCCAACAUAAACCAUUGCUUUGGAAAUUUCGGUCCCGAAUUAAGCAACAGGGACGCAGAUCUAACUCAUAAACUCAAAGGAGGUCUCCUUACCCUGAACACAGGCACUGUCUUUUCCAAAGACUUGCAGACUUCUUCCACCGCUGUAUCCUGGAUGGUGGCCUUAGUCAUUUCCCUGGCUCACAGCAGAGCAGCAAUGUUUCUAUACAGUUCAGAUCUAGAUAGCAUUUUAACUGUGCCUAGAGCUUUACAGUGCUAACCUUCGCCUCCAAGGAAUCAUGUGGAGAAAGUCAAUAAUAAUAGUAUUCUGGAGACUUGGAGACAGUAUGGGUUGAACAGGGUGGCAUGAGGCAUCCAUAGCUGAGAUGAGUGCUGGUUCUGGUGUGUGUGUGUGUGUGUGUGUAGAAAGACAGACAGACAGACAGACAGACAGAGAGAUAAAAAUAGCAGAGGAGAGCUAUUACUGACAAUACCUCUGGGAAGUCUUUGUGGUCUUCUCAGAGGCAUCUGCUUGGCCUUUGAAGGAAACAGGUUUCUGGACUAAAUGGACAUUUAGUCUGUAGACCAAGGGUAGCCAAUGUGGUGGCUUCCAGAUGCUGACAAAUUACAACUCCAAAUGCCCAAGCCAACAAGGCCAGUGAUCAGGGAUGAAGGGAUUAGUAGUUGAAAAGCAUGUGGUGGGCAGCAUCAUGUUGGCUGCUCCGGUCCAGUCCAGCAAGGAUUCUCUUCUAAGCACUUCCCUCUGUUGAGCAAGAGCCAAAGGGAGAAUCUCCAGAAGCCUUACUGGUUGCUAUCUCUGAGAAGCACAGGUGUCAAUGUGGGCAGCAGGCUGGUGGCAUAGUUGGCUAUGCUGGGUGCUGCUAUGGUCCAUGUCUUGCAGUGAAGGCUACGCAUUGUUCAGUGGUGGCUGCUAUCUGCCUCAUGAAUGUGCCGCAUCCUCAGGAGGAAUUCUGCAGUCAAUUUCAUUUUCCUGAAAUAGGCAGGUACAUUCCCAGAGAAAAUACAUAUCACCUUGGAUUUCAUUCUUUCUCAUUAGGGUUGUCUUACUUCAGUUAUGGUUUAUUUUUUUUAAAAAAAUAAUACUGCUGAAUAUUAUAAAAAGUCUCUUAGGUCAUUUACAUUAAAAACUAUUGGUCGAUCAAAGUGACUAAGGAUGUGAUAUAUGUAAAACAAAUUGUCAUUAAUAAGUAAAAUAAAAAUAUUUUUUUUUAAUACACUAAAAAACCAGUGGUUUGUAUCCACUGCCAGUCUCACUCUGAGAAGGCCCAUUGAAUGUGACUAACAGGUUCAUUAAUUUCAGUGGGUCUACUCUGAGUAAAACUUAGCUGGGUGCAACCUGAACAACCAAAAAAGACAAUAAAACUUCCAAAAACCAAGUGAAAACUGAAAUGAAGACAAAACACAACUGUAUAUUACAAAUAAAACUGAGCAGUACAUGCACAAGAAAGUUAAAAAUAAAAAUAAAGAGUCAGAGUCCAGGAAAGUUAUAAGUAUGGGUACAUGCCAAGAAAAAUAUAGGUCAAAUUUCUGGAUGUUUUCACACUUGCAUAUUGAGAAAUAGCCCUAAUAAGAUGUAUACAUGCAGGCUCUUUAUACAUGCAGCUGAGAACUCUGACUGAACAGAGUUCCCAACUGUGUGGAAGAACCUAUAGGAGCAUAUCUACAUUCAUACCUACCCUGAAUGCAUGGGGGUCAGAGCCGUGAUUAUGAUCUCACUUGUACUUCAGUUAUUCAGUGAAUGUGGUUGAAAGCAAGAGCUAUAGUCACCAGCUCUGAACCCUUGGAUGCAGCAAAGUUCACACACACAUACCCACACAAUCUCUUUACUGCACCAAAUAAUUAUGGAACCUAUCACAGAAUGCAGAUAUUUAAUUGCACUGUUGCACAGGGUCCAGUUUGCAUGAGACCUAUGUAGCAAAUUAGAUAACCCAGCCCUAAUAGUGUAAUAUGUAUAUGGUACACAAGUGAUCAUGUUGAUACCUUUUUUUUAUUUAAAGCAUUUGGUUGUGGAAAUAUUGAUUAAAAAUGUCUGUAAGAGCACCAUUGAGGUUUCCCUGCCCCGCCCCCCUCUCUUUCAAGUUCAGUGAGUAACUGUUUGGAUUACAGGUUAAAGCCCCACAUGAUCCGGUGAAAUACUUUCUAUUGUAUUUAGCUUCUCACUGACAUCUAUGGAUUAUUCGGCUUUUGAAAGUCUCUUUCCUGAACUUUUGUUUUUGUUUCUCACCUGGAACAGAAAGGUGAAAAGGGACAGCUUUGCCCACAAACAGAAGACUGCUUUUUCUUUCUUCACUGUGUAUGUGCGCUUUGCCUCAUGACUGUCGGCGGAAAGAUUUCAGAUUUCUUGCUCAGCUGUUAGUCACAAUGCUUUUAGGAGGAGGUGCAGUAGAUGGGUCAGAACCAAGGAGGAGCUCCCUUGCAGAGACAAGGUCAUGGCUAGGUAGGUCAGUGGGGGUGGGGCUGUACUUUGGUCUGGAGUAGUGGGAGGGGCAUGGCUGGAGUUUCUGUGUGGGGGAGAUACUACUCAGUAGAGAUCUGCACCAGAUUUGGCUGAGGCCCAAGCCAAAUUGGGUCUAUUCAGAGUGACUUGUGUGUCAGAUGUGUCAGGUCCAGACAGUUGUGGAUCACUACAGAUCAGAUUGGUUGACCUUGCAUGAUCAGUGGCUGUCAAAGGGCAGGGCAUCUAGCAAGUAGGAGAGGCGGUCGUGGCAGGAAAAUGCAAUGGAGAAGCAAAACCUAUCUUUGAUCACUGGCUGUGUCUUCUGGGAGAAGGCAGGCCCAAUAUUCUGCUAGCCUGGUGCUCUCCUUCCUGCCUGAUGCCUCUCUCCACUGGGAUCAUGAACUCCACUCAAUAGCUGUUUAGUGAGGGGUCAGUCUGGAGGGUGUAGGUCCUGUGUGGUGGGUUUCAGCUGGGAUGGGGGAAAGGAGAUACUAGGUCUUCUUCCCCUGCCCAUCUUCCGGCUAUAUGAUUAAUCAGGGUUUUAUUUUAUUUUUUAUUUACUUAACAUAAUUGUUGCAACAUAUAAGCAAAAUAUUGCAACUACAUACAUAUAUAUUUCAAAUAAGCCCAUAUAUAUGAAAAGAGGAAAAAAGAGGAAAAAAAGAAGAAAAGUUUUUGUCUUAUCAAAUUAGUCAGCUUUGCUAAUUCCAAGUAUUUGCAUAAUUUAUUCAACAUAAUUAGAGUUUUAAAACUGUCCUUAAACAUUAGCCUUCCGGGACUGGAUCCAGGGUGGGUGGGUGGGUGGUGGUCUCCAGGUUGAUCCAAGGUGGGUCAACUUGAUGCCCCCUGCUGCUGCACGGGGAAGAUGGGGAGGAGAUUCUGCAUAGUCCCACUACUCAAGCAAUUUGACAGGUGGGAUUUUUUUCAAAUUGCUAGUCAAUUGAAGCUCUUGAAUUUGGUUUUAAACCAUCUAAAAUCUCAGCACUGGGCACUGCAUUUUUAUUGGGCAUUGCAUUCGCAUUAUUUAAUCAUUGCUACUGUACCACUCAUUCCUUUUCAAGGGAUUUAUUUUCUACUGUAGUCUUUUCCAUAUCAUGUCUGGUCCAAAUUAUCAUAAUCCACUUCCUAUUUUUCUAAUUUAUUAAAUUAUUGUUAUCUAUUUUUCUACAUUCCUAUCUAGCUUUGUUCCUAACAGAGAAACCAAUUUCCCUCAGACAUUUCACCUAACUAGGAAGUUACUUGAAAAGUUCUGAUGAUCAAAUCCCAAAGCAACAGUAGCAUAAAACCUUUAUUAGGACCAACUAAAAAAGUCACCAAGAUGUUCUGCCUCUAGCAGUAAUUGGAACAUAUGGGUCCCUUGUAAGACACGGAACGGUAGUAAGAAAAAAUGAGGUGAUCCUUAUGUUAGCAAAACGGAAUAUUAAUUUUUGGCAAUGCAUUAUGUGUAAACUCAACAGAAAUUGAAUUAGAACAUGCUAAUCCUCUCCAUAGGCAAAAUCUCAUCCCUAGUUAGCAGAAAGUUAUUUUCUUCCAGUUCUAAGAUCAGUUCCUAGAUUGAUAAAUUCACUCAUAUGGGUUAUAUCCAACGCUUGUCUGAGUAGGCCCUGCUGACAUCAAUGAGCCCAAGUGAGUAAUGCCCAUUAACUUAAGUGUGUCUACUCUGCGUAAAACUAGCAUUGGCUGCAACCCUAUAGUUUAUAUGAUGAUCACAAGCUAGAAAGCAGUAACAGUAUGGUCUGCGAAACUGAAUAGUGACAUAUCUAAUCUAUGUACACUGAUAAAAGAUGGUGGUUAUAAUGAUAAUACCAUCAAGAUAACACACCAAUUUCAGCUAGUUAGGACAGCACUGUGUUGGGUUGAAAUUUCCACCUAGGAUGAACUUGGGUCAACUGGUCCCAGGUUGCUUCCAGGAAGAUUUGUCAUCAGGUUUAAAUCCAUCUUUGCCCACAUACAUCCCAAUUCUCCAUUCAUGGCUGUCCCAUCUUAUUCUAAGUAAUCUCUUUAAACAAGAAUGAAAGCUCUGAUCCUCUGAGCCCCUUCCAUGGGUGAAACUUGUAGCAUCAGGCCCUAGACUGGUUUAUUUCUGACAGCUAUUAAUCUUGUUGACACAUCAUGGCUGACACCAGACAUGAGAGUAUUUUAUUCAUCGGCUGGUGAGAAAGUUCUGCCUUUGUGUGUGGGAUAUGCACGCACACCUCUUAACUGUUUAGCCUGGGCUCAGAAUUCAUCUCCUCAUUAACCAGAUAUAAUUACACCUGACAAACGUACUGAAUGCACCAAAGCAUGAAAGUAAAAGACAGAAGGAUUAAAUUGAUACAAGUCUGUCACCCUGGCAAAUAGAGCCCCAGAAAGCUUAAGAAGGAGCAGGAUGAAUAAUUGUUUAAGGAUCAUCAGCAUGAUUACAGGGUGUGAUCGCACACACUGCACCUGAAGAGUCAGAUAAUUAUGGAAAUUACAAAAGAAAAUCAAUUGGAGUGCCAAGAUAUGGGGAAAGUUCUGUAUUGGUGCACAGUGCCUGAAUUGCUAUCUAACAGAGCCACUUUAUGUUAUUUUAAAGGGUGGCAUUUUCGAUGCAUCACAGGGCAGAAUAAAAUAACUUUCUUUUUUAAAAUAAUAAAUAAAUAAAUGAGUUUUUAAUACAAUACAAAACAGUAAGAGAUAACUUUCGUACAAUACAAUCUGUAGACAUUUAAGUGAAGAUGAAAAGUGGAUGUGAAAUUGGCAUAUUUAAAUAUGAAACAAUGUCAAAGGUAGUUCAUUGCCAUUUUACAUCACAAGAAAUGGGUGCCCUUAAAUCUAUUGAAAUAAAUGGGCUUAAGGACUCCUAACUCUGUACCAGAUCAUAGAACCAUAGUCUUGUAGAGCUGGAAGGGACCACAAGGAUCAUCUAAUCCAACCCCUCUUUUUACAUUUACACCCCACCUUUCUUCCAAGAGCCUCAAGGUUGCGUAUGCAAUUUCCUCCCCAUUCCCCAUUUUUAUCCUCACAACAAUCCUUGAGUUAGAUUAGGCGGAGAGUGAGUGGCUGACCCAAAGGCACCCAGUGAGCUUCACAACUGAGCGGGCAUUUGAACCCUGCUCUCUCUAUCUAAGACUGACACUCUAACCAUUACACCACGCUGUGGUAGGCCUAUUAGAACAAAUGAACUGGCAGAUAAAGCAGCAUGGAGGCGAGAGUUGCAGAGUGGUUUUCAAAAAACAAGGUAAUGUAAAAACAGGAUAAACAGAAACAUGAAAAUAAUCAACAUAAGUUGAAUAAUUAACAACCUCAUAAAAAUGAUUUGACACAUUGGUCUGUAUAGGCUUGACAAAAAGGUGGGUUUUUUAAAUCUGGCAUCGAAAUGAACAUAAGAUUGUGAUGAAACUCACUUCAGCAGGAAGGUCGCUCCAGAGACGUGGAGACACCAUCAAAAAUGCUUUCUAUGAGUCCCAGAGCAAUGCCCUUCAUUUACCGCAAGGGCAGGUUGGUACAGGAAAAGGCUUUCUCUCAGAUAUUUGGGCUCCAGGGCAUUCAGGGUUUUAAAUGUCAACAUAAACACAUUGAAGUGAUCCCAGAAGCAGUGGCGUAGCGUGGGUUGUCAGCACCCAGGGAAAGGCAAGUAAUUUGCGCCCCCUCCAGGUAGGGGCAGAGAGCUGCGAGUGCGAGCGCGCGCCCCCCCGAUGUUGCGCCCGGCCCCCCCUGCACCCCCACGCUACGCCACUGCCCAGAAGAUACGUGGCGAUCAUACUGUUGAGGCAAUCAGCUGUUUGAGAAUAAAAGUUACAUGGCAGCUUCACUAUGUUAUGGUAAAUGUCUGACAUUUGGCAAAUGCUGACAAUCAGUAAUCCACAGACCUGUUUCAGAGAAGUCUGGAUUGCCAGAAAAUUCAAAUAUUUUUGGUAGUGCUAGUGCUAACUGUCAACAUUCAUUGUAAUUUUGGAACUGUCUAGCAUUAUAACAUGGAGCUCAGAGCUGAAUUUUUAGCCAGAUUAAGAAAACUGUGAGUUAAUUUAGACUGCCAAAAAUGCCAGUCCCUUGUCAACUCCCUUCUCCCUCAUUCAUAUCAUUUAACUUAACUCUGUGUUCUGUGUUCUGAUGUCCUGACAUUCUUCAUUUUGCUAGAACACUGCUGCUGUCAAUGGUGCAGAAAUGUGGAGAAGUAUAACAUUAGGACAUUACAGAAGGUGAAGGAGGAUGAGAAAUGUGCCCACCAUUUUCCAUUUAAUUUGACUUUGAGAAGCAAUGAUAUAACCCAGGCUCCCCAUCUUCAUACCUAAACCGGGAUUAGAACCUAUAAUUUCCACUUUGAAGCUUGACAUACUAGUCAUUCUGCUCCAUGGGCUCCCAUUGCAACAUCUAAAUCUGAAUUUACCCACUAACUACUCAAAUAUAUUUUGGGAUCAUUCAGCUUUCCUUAGACCGUGGGUAUCCAUUGUGGUGCUCUCCAAAUGUUAUGGGACUACAACUCCCAUCAGCCCCAGCAACCUUAACAAAUGGGCCAGGAUUAUGGGACUUGUAGUCCAAAAACAUCUGGAGAGCACCAUCUUGGCUGUCUCUGCAUUAGGCUAGAAAAUCACGCAGGGACACUCAAAUACUGUCUUUUUAGAUCACUUGACUGUCAACCAGCAAAUAUAGCCUUUGUUGUCUCUUGUUUAGAUGGUGCAUUUCUUACAAAGGAAGUUGAGAUGCUGACGCUUGGAACUCUGGCAAAAUGUGGAACCUCUUCUUGCAAGUAUUGCUUCUCUAAUUUCUUUUAGUUUAUCUCUAAAAAACUGACAUACCAAUUCAUUGAUUUAUCUGGAUCUUAUUGAACAGGCACCGAAGGCACCAACAUCCAUAUUUCCAAUAUGAUAGGGACAGUUGUAGUUUUGGAAUUCUCUGAAUUAAACACUUAAUAUGGACACACUGCUAAGCCAACAAUUAUUUCUUUCAUGUAUUGCCCAAAAUGGAUGUUCCUUAUGUGCUGCCUUGACUUUUCUUUUGUCUUCAGGUUAAACAGAUAGCAAAAGCCUACUGUUGUUUAAACAUGGUACUUCUUUAUAAUUCUGAAGAGCAGAAUGAUAAUAUGUUGUACAAGCCUUUGACCUGAAUGGAGGGACCUACAGAGAAAGGAUGCAUUUGCUAUCAGAUAGGUCAGAGCUGCACAGCUUGCCUGAAGAAGUUGUGACUGUGCACAGUCUCCUCCAGGAAAAAAAAGUGCCCCUAUGACAGCAUAAUAGCAUUUUGUACUUAAAACUUCAUUUUGUCCAACUAUUAGCCUCUAAUAGGGUUCUUUUCAUUUUCAUUCUUAGAUGGCUUCUUGAUCUCCUGGUUCCAAAAGCCAGUUUCUUCUUUAUAAGUUAUCAAUCUUUUUCAGUUAUCAGCUGUGCACAGACUCAGUGGUGUAGUGUUGGUUGCCAGUGCCCAGGGUAGGCGUGCACACAUGUGCCAGGUGGAUAUGGGGGUGCACAUGCUUGAGGUGUAGGGCACCAGCCCAACCCUUGCUCUGACACUGCCAGAGGAACCCCAACCUCACCAGAGCAAAGCAUGGCUGCACUGAGCCACUUGUCCACCCAUGGAUGGGGGAGCCUGGCCAGCUGUCAUGGCCCUUGGCGGGCGAAGAGGAGCCCCGGGUCAGGCUGGGCUGGGGUCACCUGUGUAGGGGCACCUAGUUCACUCCCCCUCAAAAAUUGUAUGCCCAAUGCCAUGGCCCCUCUGGCACCCCCUCACUACACCUCUGCACAGACUGAAUGUGCAUGAGAUGUGUUCUUUUUUAUUUUGGGUGGGGAAAGGAAUCAGGUGGAACCGGAGCAAAUGGAUGGUGGCUUCAGAAUUAAUGAUAGGCAGAGCCAAGUAAUUAUGGUUUUGUUCCCAUCAUCCUACCUGCAAAGGUGGCAAUGAGGAGGCAGCAACAGUAGCAGCAUAAAACUAUUAAAUCCAGAGUCUAAAACUGGACUUAAACCUAACUGCACAUGAACGAAAGCAUUUUUUAAAAAAUGGUGAUGGCAAAACUUAUCUGGAUUGCUUUUCCUUCUACUGGUCCAUGGAAGGAAAAUUUAGUGAGCCAACUCAUAUCACUCCAAAGGCUGUGAAUAUUCGCCAUUUUUACCAUUGGGGCGGUUUUCUUAAAAACUCAUUACGGUGGUACCUCGGGUUACAGACGCUUCAGGUUACAGACUCCGCUAACCCAGAAAUAGUACCUCGGGUUAAGAACUUUGCUUCAGGAUGAGAACAGAAAUUGCACGGCAGCAGGGCGGUGGCAGCGGGAGGCCCCAUUAGCUAAAGUGGUGUUUCAGGUUAAGAACAGUUUCAGGUUAAGAACGGACCUCCAGAACAAAUUAAGUUCUUAACCUGAGGUACCACUGUAAAGGCCUCCUAAAGUGAAAAUGAGGCUCUUCUCAGAUCCUUUGCAAAACCCAAGUACAUCAAAGGAAGGGCAUAAGCAUGAGUGUAUUAAUCACAUUCAUCUAUCAUUAUAAUGCAACUUAUAUUGCAACAAAGCAAGCUUAAUGCUUCCCUUCAACAUCAAAGAUGUAUUUCAAUCUCAAACUAUAUCAAUGCAAAACCAGUUGGGGGGGGGAGAAGCAAAAUGGUAUGACUAAUAUUAUCUGUGCUGCUGCACAUAAGCACCCACACCAGCACAAUUUCAUCAUAGAAUAAACCAUUUGUAUUUCUCAUAAAACUAUAUAUAGACAAAGUAAUACAACUAAAAAACUGUGUCAGAGGGUGUGCCAAAGACUCUUCAGAAAAAGUGGGCAUUAAGGGGGGAUUUGGUAGACUAGAAAAAGCGGUGGCACCAUGAAGAUGCUCUUGAAAUCACUUCCAAGCAUAAGAAGCAAGAAGGGUGGAAAGGGAGACCUUUAGGCAUACAGUUUGAGAGUGUAGGAGUUGGAGGAGUGAAGAUCACAGAGUUGUGAAUGAAUAAGCAGAUAAAGCCAUGGAUGGCACUGGGCCCAGGCGUGAACUGGAUGGGUGCUGGAUUAAUGAUUUAUGGAGGUGCAUUGUGUAAGAACAUAAAACAGUCCUACUGGAUUAGGCCAAAGUCUCAUCCAUUCUCAUCAUCAGAGACCUAUGGGAAGCCUGCAAGCAGGACAUGAGUGCCAUAGUGCUCUCCCCACUUGUGAUUCUAUGAGAAGGUGCAGAAGACUGCAAAGGCUGGCUCUACUCCCACUGGUGAUUCAAACAGUGGUCAUCAUUUGCCAUCUCCGGUAUAGGCUCAGAGAGCGCAAGUGGAACAGAAAACUGGAACAUAUUUAUGUACCUGAGACUGAUUUUAAAAGGAAAUCUAAGAGAACCAAACUUUAUAUCAUAGAAGCUCAGUGUUGAACAGAUUGGCAAGCCAGCUCUAGUUCCACAUUUGCAACAUGAGAAUAAGGAAUGUAUGCAUUCUCUGUUAGUUGCAACAUUAAAGUUGCUAUGAGCAAGAAAGCUUGGGCACCCUGAGCAUAUCACUGGACUGGGCUGAUGACAUGCAAGAUUGGUGUUACCCAACCUUAUCCAUAAUUCUCUAUAUUUUCCUUCUCUCCAUACCAAGGUAGGAAUUCUCAAGCACUAUCAGUGGACUGUGCAUUUCAGAGGAAUAGCUAUUAGGACUGUCACUUGUAAAUCUGAUCAAAGUAAAAGAGAGUUGAUUUCUUUUCAGGCACAGGGAAGGAAUAUAUCCCUGAGGUAACUCCAUUAUUUCAACUGAUAGGGCAAAUUUGUCUUAGUGUUUUUAACUAAAGUCACUUUGUCUCCAGUUCCCAGAAUGCUUGUGUAUUUGACGUAUCAGGACAUUCUUAGCUUUUUCCCAGUUGGUUUUUCCAAUGUCAGAUCAAUGGACUGAGAGUUUUUGAUGUAAAAGAGAAUUGAUUUAUGAUUUUCAAAAGGCUGCACAGGUUCAGCUGUUUAUUGCGACUGUAUCCUAAACAAUUUAAAGAUACUACCAAGAGAGUGAUUCUCUGCCUGCUUACAGUGAAGCCAUCCCACUUAAUUUGAUGAGUUGACACCAGAAGUAGUUCACUGGGUAGGAGGGAUUUGCUAUGCUAGCUUCUUGGCAGCUGGGUCUCUGUUACUGACCAGAAGUGAGAUGAGGAGGGGUGAGGUGGCAGGGAGGAUGUCACAGUGUGAACUGGUAGAAGCACCAGAUUGGCUCUGCCAUUGUGUUUGCACCAUGCCAACAUCCCCACCACCUCACUCUUCUCCCUCCCAGCAAGCAACAGAAAGCUAGCAUGGUGGUUCUGCCACACCCAGGGAGCUACUUCUGGCUGACACCACUGUACCUGGAUAGUGAGUAUGCUGGGGAUUCUGUCAUCCCAUGCAAGACAUGUAGUAGGCCUACAUUUAUUAUAUAUUAACUUCUUAUUUUAAAAAAAGUCCAAUUGAGAUAUUUUCUUAGAAGAAAAUUUAUCAAACUUAUUUUCUGAAGCUCAAUUAUUUGGCUCUUGAAAAAGAAAAUUAGAUAAUGGUUUUGUCAGUGGUCUUGUUAUUCUCUCCAUUUGAAGAAUGCCCUCCCUAGUGAAACUUAUUUGUCUUUCUCAUUAACAGUCAGUAGAAAUGGGGGGAGGGAAUCCAGUUCACCCAUGCAUUUGAUGGUUGAAAGGUGAAGAUAUAUGACUGUUUUUAUAUGAAUUUGGAUGUUCUUUAGGAUGAAUGGUGGGAUAGAAAAUUCAAAGAUGUUGAGGAUAAUAACAGUAACAGUAUAUAAAAUAUUAUCUCCAUCAUCUUAAGGUAAAAGCUCUGCUGCCUAUGCUUUUUGGAUUGCCCCUUUCCCACAUUCGUGUACUGCGACAGAAGACCCUACUUAAAAAAAUAAAUGAAAUAAUGAUCAUGUUGGGGUCAACAAAGGCCCAUUGGCCACAUGCCCAAGGGAAGAGUCGGGGCAGGGGAAACUGCAGAGCUGGUGGGUGGAGCACAGAGGAGGAAGCAGAAAAGGAAGAAGAGGAAGCAGGUCAGACAAGUAAAGGGCCAGGUGCUUUCCCAUCCUCUCCUGCACUACUGUCUCCCAGAACCAGGAGGGGACUGAAAGAGGGAUGAGCUGAGGAAUUUCUAUGCAGGCAUAGUCUUUGGCUGCAUGUGCAGUCCAUUGGGGGAAGGUACAUAAACUGGUGAAGGGAGAGUGGUCUCCUAUUGCUGCAACUGUUCCAUAGAAUGCAGACCUGGGAAUAGCUAUUUAGAUGCUAGAUUGCUGUGUGUAGGUAGCCAAAGCUUUAGAAGUGUCUGUAAGUGUUACCUUUGACAAUAAAGAGUUAAGUAUCUGAGGUAUGCAUUCCUUUGGCUGGGGAGCACCCUUGACAGCGGUCCAGUUCUGCUCCUAUCUGCACAGGGAUGUCCUAACUUCUUUUGUCUGUGCUCUGGUAACCUCUAGGUUAGAUUACUGCAAUGCAUUAUACAUGCCUUUGAAGAUGGUUCAGAACUUUCAGCUGGUACAGAAAGGGCUUGAUUAGUGGUUGGAGAGAUUAAAUAUAGAAGGUUCUUUUCCUGAAUCAUCACAGGUCCACAACCUCAUGUGGUUUGUGACUUUUGAAAUCUCACAUUCUACUGGAACCAAUGGAGUUCUGUUUUUUAUGCAAUACUGCUGUAAAAAAUUCACUGGCAACUCCACCUUUUGGAGUCGAAUUGUAUGUGUCUAUGGCAGGGAUAAGUAACUAUUUGUUCUAUGUAAAAAAAGAUGAUCUUUAAAUCAGUGUGAUUGACAUGCUGGAAGGAAGCAUAACUGAUGCCAUUUUAGAAUGAUUCACUUAGCUUUGCUCUUGAAAGCACACCCUAAUAGUAUUUAUAUAAGAGACACUGACUAAAACAAUAUUGACACCUGCCAAUCAUGACGAUGAUGAGUCAUUUUGCAUGGCUCGGGCUUUCCCUUACUUAGGUACUGCAAGUUCAUUUGUAAUCUAUUUAGUGUAGAGCACAUAAUACUUUUCCUGCUUGUUACAGAUAUAAUCUUGCUUGGCUUAUUUGAUUUGGGUCACAUCCACGACAUCUGCUUUCAUGCAAAGACACCAUCCAUGCUGAGUAUGUAACUGGCACCCUGUGCGGCUAUUCACAUCUUAUUCCCUUAAUGAAAGAGACACUGGAGACUGUUCCAUGGCAGAAACCACAGAAAAUGGCUUAACAUUGUCAAUAUGCAGGAGAAUCUACAGAGUAAACAGAGCGCUGUCAGCUGUUUCAGAGAGCAGCAAAGCUAAAUAUACCAGAAAAGAGGGUUCCCCCCCCGCAACAAAACAAAACAAAAUUCUAGCUUCCCGGGGAAUUCCUGGCAGACACGUGAAAGGUCUUCCAGAGCAGCGAUUAAAGCAAAGCAGAAAAUAUUCCCCUUGCCAACUCUCACUUGCUAAACAUGCUUCUCGGCUAAUGUUUUUCAUUGAUUUACAGAGCUCUUCCAGACUCUUUUUUGUUGUAACAAUUUAUGAGCCUUGGAAGAGAAGCUAUGGGCUUUGCCAGAUUUUCUACACCAGAGUGGACAAGUUCAGUAGCCAGCGAGCCUAAUUGAGUCGUUGUUUAAAUUUUGUUUUGGCUCCUAGUGCAUUUCUCCUUCUGAUCUUGCUUUAGCAUCCACGGCUCGUCUACUCACAACUGCCGAUGCAAAGAAUUUCUCCCUUGUUGCUGAUGCCAUCUGGAACUGCCAUUCUAUAUUUACCCAGCCCGUCAAUUAUUCUGAUUAAAAAGCUCAAAAUAACAGAAUUUCUAAAAAACAACAACAACACUCAGUCAGAAGCACAAGUGCUCUCCUCACUUGUUCAAAGUGUUCUUUGAGCUUUGAGCCUGAAAAUCUUCAACCCUCCUCUCUGUUGACCAUACCCAUAUUCACUCCUCCUUUGCGUCUUGUCUCAAGUCUUCACCAAAACUUUUGCUAAACCAUCUUAAACAGGUAUGGGGCAGUGGUGGACCUUGGCAUCUCAGAUUUCAGUGGCACCCUAUGCGAUGCCAAAAUCCAGUGGCCUCCUGCCUCUCGCCUUCCAUUGGAUGUCAUAGUUAUGGCACCUGCUAUAUCACCACAGAAGCUCCAUGCCUGGUAUGACCAAACCGGUCACACUCUCUUAUAUCUUCCUUUGCAUGGAUAACCUGUGUCUUUUCAGAUGUUAUGGGACUAUAAGUCCCAUCAUUUCUGCCCAUUGGCCAUUCUGUUUUAGACUGAUGGGAUCUGGAGUCCAAUAAUAUUUGGAGGGCUGCAGGUUCCACCUCCCUGACAUUAUGUUCUCUUAUCUGCACAUCUGCUGCCAAUGCCAAUGGGCACUCAAUGUCUGAUCCCUCCAUUACUCAUCUCUUUUAAGAUCCUGCUCUAUGCCUUUCCCUACAUGCACUUUACUUCAUAUUUAAUGGCUUGAUAUUGACUUUAUGUGUGAAUCAAUUCCAUUGAAAACUAGCUUUCAUUGUGAUGCAAAAGCUGUACCUGUGGUUUGUUCCUGUGAUGGCUUUUGAAAGUCACUCCUGGGCACUGCAGCGAUGAUCUUUCAUGCAUUAACCAGCCUGAAAUAAUUUUGUAAUAAUUUCCCUCUGUGCAUGGAUUAUGACACGUCCAUUAAAGGAAGGACUGUGACUCAGAGGUAGAACAUCUAUUUUGCAUGCAAAAGUCUCCGGGUUCAAUUCCCUGCAUCUUCAGGUGGGUCUGGAACCCUGGAGAAUCACUGCCAGUUACUGAAGAGUAGACAAUACUGAUGGAUGAAUGCUAUGACUCAGUAUAAGUCAACUUCCUAUGAUCUGUACUGUACCUGUAAUGUACCUGUUGAUACAAAAUGUUAAGUGGCAGUGGUGGCGGCAGUGGCAACUUCAUUCUGUGGAGAACACAAUAUUUCUCUUUUUUGUGCUUAAUUAUGACACACAAUUUCUUGAAAAUCAAGGCCUCCUCUGCCCCCUGACUUUUUUGGACAUGGCGGCACCCAGCCCUCUCUCCAGAAACAUUGGGUGCCCCCCAAGGUGCUCAGCCCCCAGAAGGUGGCACCCCUGAGAAUUGAAGAUGCUUGCACGAAGCCAAGUGAGAAGUGAAGAAAAUGAACACAAGCAUCCAACAGAGUAGUGCAACAAUUCAGCAAAACAUUUGUCGUAGCUCAAGGAAGCUCUCUCUUUUUCCACUUGAAAACUGUAUUUUUCCAAUGGAAAAUUUUCACUGAAAACAACCUCAAUUUUUUUUGGGGGGGGGGAGGCAGGACUGCUUUCUCCCACAAAGUUAUAUUUUUCCACAGCGGUUUUCUGCAGUAUUUUCUUACCUGCUCUGCCUUCUUCAGAUCUGGUGUUCAAAGUGGAUCUGUGUUUUGCAAAGCUUAGAUUCACUGGUUAAAUCAUUUCACUGUCAAUACUGACGAAGAGAUAGCAAAUAUUUGGUCUACCUUUUUCAGGUGAAGGAGAAUCUGUUUCCAUGAACAGAUAAUUCAUCCCCUAUUGGAUCUGUGCCAGCAUAAAAGCACAAGCUGUAGGCUAGGUUACAAAUUCUGAUCCCUUUCUCUGAUGGCCUUUCAAAAGACCUUCCUGUUUAAACUGGCCUUUGGCCCCAUAUAUUGAUUAUUUGGCUGCAAUUGGCUGGUUAUAGUUUUAAUUAGUGAGUGGUUUCACCUACUUUUUUCACUUUUGGGGUAAGUUUUUGAUAUAUGUGUCUGCAUUGCAUUCCACUUUAUGUGUUAUUGCUAGCCAUCUUGGGCACGUAGUUCAGAAAGGUGGGAUAGAAAUGCAGGUAACGAAUACAUGACUAAAUAAUACAGUAAGAAGUGAUCUGAAUUCAUUUCUUUAUUGGGCCAUCCUACUUGAGAAAGAAGGUACAUAGCAGACAGCUUGGGCAUAGUUCAUGUCUUUUCAGAUUAAAAAAAGAAGACAUAAAAUGUGAUUUGAGUAUUUUAGGGUACUCUCAGAGGUAGGUGACUGGCUACAGCCCAGGUCAAAUUGACACAGGCUAUAAUCCAACCUGGUGGGUGCAGGAGAACUGUGUACAUAGAGGGCGUCAUUCUGACAUUUUCUCCAUAGUCAAGGUUAACUAGGUCCAUUCAGGACUUGGCCGCAGCGCACUGUGGCCAUAAACGGUGCAUUGAGGUUUGUCCGGUUUUAAGGGGACAGCACGGCUCAGGACUCACCUAAUUUUUUCUCCCCUCUCUCUUACUCUUUUCUUCCCCUUCCAAACAUGGAUGGAAGUGGCCAGUUUGGCCAGAGGCACUAUUCAACUGACUUCACAUGCCAAGAACUUCUCUUUUGGGGUGAAUAACAGGUUGGAAGGGUGUUAUUAAUGGACAUCUUGUGUGGAUGAAAGGGUUUCGAACACUCUCAACGUAUUAUACCCCCCAGAGGCUAUUGGGGUGUAUUUUUGUGUGAGUGUUAUGCAGAGGAAAGUAGGAUAAAUUUGAUUAUGUUUGCAUUAAAAGGCGAACAUACUUAAUUCUAACAUUCGGGGGGGGGGUGAACCAAAAUCAAGGCAUCCUUUAAAAAUUUGCACUCAUUUGAAUUUUGCAAUGCAGUUCUCCUGCCAACUAAUGCAUACGGAAAUGUGUGCAUAGACAAUGCAUACAUCUGUGAAACGAUACACAAAAUUACAUUAUAUUAGGGGUAAUUGCUUUGCAAAAAAUGUGCGUAUUAGGGGAAAUUGCAUAUAAAAAUGAGUAUACUAGAAAAAAAUGCCACAAAAUUGCUCACAGACUUUUUAAAAAUUCAUGAACUGAUGUGGAAAUGGGGAGAACUGAACUUAAAGUUGGAACAAUGAGCAACAGAAACAGCAGCUGACAUAUUCACCCUUCCCUAGUUGUGCAAGAUGCUAUGCCAGAAGUAAAGUCUCACACACUAUCUAGCACCUUGUGUGGCACCAUUUAUGGCCUGGAAGCCAAGCUGUGUGGACCGGAAGCCCCAGAAGGCUCUGUGGUAAUCCUGAAGCCUCUGGGCAUCCUCUCAUUUAUCACCGGGAAAGAUGGGAGGUGACUUUGCUGCUUGUAAUCUGUCAUAGAAUCUAUACAACCCAGAACAUUUUGUACCCUCAACUGCAUGGCGGUGCAUUCAAUGAAGGAAGCAAACCAUUCCUGAUGACUCAAGCAAAUGGGCAGACACACAUUCUGCCUACAGAUAACUACAAUAAAUCAAAUGAAACCAACAGGGUUAUUAACCAAUCUGCCUGGGAAACCAUCCCAUUUCCACCUUGAUAGGCCUUGUUCAAGUGCAUUCAUGAACAUUAUGAAAUUAUACUGUGAAGUAUAAUGUGAAAUGUCAUGCGGUCCCUAUAAAGCAGGGAUGGGGAACAGGGGUAGUGGGCUGGAUCCUGAGCUCACCCACCCUAGUGAGCCAGGUGCCCCAACUCUAAGUAUGUCUGCCACUCUGCCAAAAGCAUAGGCCAGAUGCACUCAGGAGUUCCCAACUGAGAACCCUGCACUGCAACUGAUAGCUGUAGUGCUUACUGCAAGUGCCAGUCAGCUGAAUGGUGCCUGCAGCAAGCCUCACUUCUCAAGGAACAGUUGGGAGUGCACUUAAAGUUAGUUGUUCCCUUGCAGCCGCAGCUUUACCUGCCCCAAAGCUGAUGUCUCUCAUGAAGACAUCAAGUGGAAGUGAUUUAGGUGAAAUGGCCUCUGGGAUAAAAUAGGAAAACAUGCAGCUGUAUGACCAUUGGUCCAUCUAUCUUAGUAUUGUCUACAUAGACUGGCACCAACGAUUCAGGGUUCAGGAAGGUGUCUCUCACAGCUAGUACAUGGAGAUGCCAGGAUUUGAACCUUGUGGUACCAAUGUAUUGCAGUUCUUCUGCUACUGAGCUACAGCACCGUUCAGCCACAGGGAGACUCCAGCAGAGUCAUGUGCUGCUUUUUCCUUUACAGGGUGUGAGAAACUCAUCCAUCCUCUGGAGAGGACAUAUGAUAGCCAUCUUCAAAUAUCUAAAGAGCUGUCACAUGGAAGAUGGAGCAAGCUUGUUUCCUCUUGCUCCAUAGGGUAGGACCUGAACCGAUAGCUUCAAGUUACAAGGAAAUUCCAACUAAACAUCAGGAAGAGCUUUCUGGUGGUAAGAGCUGCUCAACGGUGGAACAGACUCCCUCGGAAGGUGGUGGACUCUCUUUUAUUGGAAGUUUCAAAGCAGAGAUUGGGUGACCAUCUGUCAAAGAUGCCUUAGCUAAGAUUCUUGCAUUGCAGGGAGGGUUGGAUGAGAUCACCCUUGGGGUCCCUUCAAAGGGGCAUACCUAGCAGAUGGCUAGAUUAGCCUCUGCCAAGCGUGCAGGCCCAGGGGGUCACAAAAAGCACGCCUCUCUGCUUUGGCUGAGAGUGGCUAGGAAGCAGAGCAGAGGGCGGGGGGAGGGCAGGGAGGGAGGCAGAAAAGGAGACAGUUGGACUGAUGGGGGAGGAGGAGGAGGGAAGGAGAGAAGGAGAAGCAGCAGAGCAGGCCUAACCCUGAUGGCCAUGGAGAAAUGGCUCAGGACCACAAUACCUCAAGGACCACCUCUCUCCAUAUGAACCUACCCAAAGCCUGAGAUCAUCCUCUGAAGCCCUCUUUUCUGUGCCUCCUCCACAAGAGGUCCACAAUGAUAACCUUUUCUGCAGUGGCUCCACAUUUGUGGAAUGCUGUUUCCAGGGAGAUUCAAGUGGAGCCUUCAUUAAACACCUUGAGGCUCCAAGUGAAAAUUUUCCUUUCAACAAUGCCUGAUGCCCUUUUAAAUGUGCUGCAGGAGUGGGGGGGGGGAUUAUGGGUUUGUUGUUUUUUCUUAUUUUUCUCAUGUAUUUUGUGGUUUGUAUAUUGUAAUUGUAUGUUGUGAACCACCCUGAGAUCUACAGAUGAAGAUCUACGGUAUACAAAUUUAACAAACAAGAAGAAGAAGAAGAAGUCGUUGUCGAAGUCGUCACUGGUGGAGGAUGAAAGGCAACGAAAAGCAGACUUUUUGAGUUUCUGGUCCAGGUCUUUCCCGGCUUUAGAGACGCCAAUAUGAUGAUACAUCUCUGCCAAUGGCACAAGGGGUGGGGGUGGGAGGCAUCAAUACAGCUCCUUGCCUGGGGAGCCUAGGUACACCUCUCUCUAUAAUUCUAUGAUUCUAUCACUUUGAAUUCUCUCUUUGAUGGGUAAAAUGAUACCCAUAAAAGAGAGGGGUCCCUUCAAAGUAGGAAGGGCAUGUAACUGUUCUGGUUCCACAUUUCACCUUGCAGGCACCUCUUUUUGAGUCUCGGGGAGUGGUGAUUCAAGAUGUUUGGAGAGUGGUGAAAAAAGAGGUCCUUCUCCGUGGUGGCCCCUAGUUUAGAAUGCUUUCCCCAAAGAGACAAGCUGAAGACUUACUCUCUCUCUCUCUCUCUCUCUUUCUCUCUCUCUCUCUAAGACAUCUGAUUGUUUGUAUCUCAACACUGAUGAUGCAGACUAUGCUUGCUGAUUAAUUUAAUGGUGAUCAUACAUUGCUGAGUGGAUAUGGGUUUUAUAUUACUGUAUUGAGAAGAUAUAAGGACCUACUUGAAAAUAAAACCCCAAGGUGGUUGUCACCGAUGGAAGCGAAGGCUCAGAAAAAGCUCAAUAUGGAGGCCAAAUGGCCGAAAUAUUGGGAAAUUUUGGAACAAGAGGGAGACAGAUUGAAAUUGCAGAGUUUUGAAAAACUAAAAAUAAAGUGCGAGAUUGGCUUCAUUAUUAUCAGAUAAUGGAGGCAUAUAAUUUGGACAAGAAAAUUGGCUUCCAGGUGGAAAAAUCAAAAUUGGAAACAGAACUGUUAGAACCCAAAACCAAGAUUUUGUCAAAGAUGUAUAACUUGCUGUUGAAAUGGAAUACUCAGGAUGAAACGGUGAAAUCUGUUAUGAUUAAAUGGGCACAAGAUGUUGGACAUAACAUAAUGAUGGCUGACUGGGAACAGUUAUGGACCACAGGUAUGAAGUUUACGGCAUGUAAUGCCUUAAGAGAGAAUAUUAUGAAAAUGAUAUACAGGUGGUACAUGACACCAGUCAAGCUUGCAAAAAUCUAUCAUUUGCCCGAUAAUAAAUGUUGGAAAUGUAAAGAAACUGAAGGUACAUUCUUUCACCUUUGGUGGACGUGCCCAAGGAUUAAGGCUUUCUGGGAGAUGAUCUAUAAUGAAAUGAAAAAGGUACUUAAAUAUACCUUUCUGAAGAAACCAGAGGCCUUUCUCCUGGGCAUGGUUGGCCAAUUGGUGUUAAAGAAGGAUAGAACUUUCUUUAUGUAUGCCACAACAGCAGCAAGAAUACUUAUCGCAAAACACUGGAAGACACAAGAUUUACCCACGCUGGAAGAAUGGCAGAUGAAGGUGAUGGACUAUAUGGAACUGGCGGAAAUGACUGGCAGAAUCCGAGACCAGGGAGAAGAGUCGGUGGAAGAAGAUUGGAAGAAAUUUAAAAACUAUUUACAGAAACACUGCAAAAUUAAUGAAUGUUAGAAUGAUGUUGGAUUGAAGUUAAGUGGUUUUUAGUAGCAAUGUUAUAAAGGAAUAUGUAAAAAUGGAUUGUUAAUAGGUGAUAAUUUAAAGUUAUAAUAUAUUAAGAUGGAAGAUUAAGAUAAAACCAAAGAGGGAAAGGAAUUGCUGAAUUAACUAAUUGAACUGGAAUACAAAAAAGGGAGGUGUGAGGAGGUUGGGGAAACAAGCAAAUGAAAGAUAAGAUAUGGAAAGACUGAUUUGUUUUUAACUGUUUUUACUUUGUAUUUUUUUUUGUUUUUUUUGUUUUUUUAACUUUUUUCUCUUAUUUUUGUAAUAUAUCGAAACUUUAAUAAAUAUCUUUAAAAAAAUAUAUAUUACUGUAUUGAGAUUAUUGCUUGAUUAAUUGUAGUGUUUUUAGACAGCAUUUAUUUAUUUUUUUUAAAAAAAUAUUAUGCAAUUGUGAUAUUUCUUUAAUGGUCAAGUUACCUUGAGACGUUUUGUAAAAUUAAGUGAGGGGUGUCGUGGGCAAGUGGGUGGAGGAAUAUGACCACACACAAACAAACUUGUGUGCGUGUUUGGAAGAAAGAGUGAAACACAGAAAACUUGGGACUUGGAACUAUGAAAGCACAGCACAUUUAUCCUUGGCCAUGCAAAGUAAUCAAAAGACAAAAGGAUUCCCCAUUUGCCUGCCAUUUUAAUUGCUUUUAAUUAUCUACUGCUGUUUUUCCCCUUUAUUGAAAUAUCAAUGCAAAGCUAUGUUACUCAAUACACCCUAAUGCCCUUUAAAAUCAUUAACAUAUCAUGAAAUGGAUGGCAGACACCUGCUAUACUACUAAAAAUACAGAGGGGGGAGAGCUCUUUAUUAAUGGAAAAACCAAUCAUACCAAAAUUGAAUUAUUUUAACAGCUCUGUUCCUAUCGUGGGAACUCAUUUAAAGCAGACUUGGACAGCAUAAAAUGUAAUGAGAGCCGACUCUAAUAGGGAAGAUGUUACUAUAGCAUUUAGGGGAAAUGUAAGCUGAUUCCAUUAUCUGUGUGGAGCAAAACCUCUGACAUUUCAGCCACUACUGGGCUAUUUCAAGACUUUCCUAUGACAUAGUAAGAGAAAGAUCAGAACAGACUGACUUCUCUGAUCCACAACCCAAACGCCAAAUGCUACCAACAACAACAACAAAUUUAUUAAAUUUGUGAGGUCCAUGCCUUUACACAAAAUACCAUAAAACAUUAUUAAAAGAUAAACCAAAAAGAUUAUAAAAGUAAGCUAAAAUUCAUGCCAUGUUGUCCCAGCAAGGAAACUACCCAAAAACCCCACCAUUCAAGGAAGAAGGUACAGCAACAGGUUAGGAGAGCAAUGGGAGGGACCUCACCGUUUCAUCCAGGAACCAUACCCUAGUUUUCAUAGCCUUCACCACAAAGACCGCUACCACGUGAGAAAUCCGUGGAUCAGCGUCUACCAGUAAAAACUUUACUUGGUCCUCAGAGUUGACUAUUGAUUUAGGAAUAGUUUGUAACAUCGCAUCCCUGAAGGCCGAAUAGAUGGGACAAUACAACAUGUAAUGUAUGAGAUCCUCUUUGGCCAAACGCCAAAUGAGGUUACCUAGAGACAGCAUAAUGAAUUAUGCAGUGCGGUGAACAUGGCAAUCAUAAGUCCAAAACAAAUGAGGAGUCCGUUGGGACAAUAGACUCAGUCUUUCAGACCUUCAAAUAUAUGUUGCUUUAAUGACAAACUGGGGCUAACGCUUAAAGUUGCAUUGCAUUACUCUUAUAAGUUCCUCACUAGAUCAGACCAGCAGCCUAUCAAGUCCAGCAACUUUUUCCACACAGGGCCAACCAGCUGCCCAUGGGAAGGCUUAAAGCAGGACAGCAGGGCAAUAGUCCACUCCUGCUCUAUAAGGCUUGUGAACCAUUGAUUUGUACUUGCCAAGUGUAUUCAUUCUGAACUGAAAUUUGGGAUGUCAGAGAAUGCUCCAGUCCUUGAAUUUUUCAGGUGGGAAAUGCUGCUCUCUAUGACUCUGAAGCGCUGCUACCAGGCAGUAUGGAUGAGAGAGCUGGGCAUGUUUAGCCUGGAGAAGAGGAGGUUAAGAGGUGAUAUGAUAGCCAUGUUCAAAUAUAUAAAAGGAUGUCACAUAGAG
rnacentral:lncRNA from 1 species